rnacentral:lncRNA from 1 species
UUUUUUUUAUUUUUUCCUGAUCGGGUGCAGAUGAGUCUGGGCACCAAAACGCUGCAUUCUUAUUCUUAUUGCCACUUUUUAUUUUGAGAUCUCUCGGUCACUGCCAUAAGGCAGUCUCCUCUUUAUGCCAGAUAACAUCAAGUUCUUCUUUAAUUUUUUUCGUGCAAGCCCUAUCUGCCUCAUCGAUACGAUUGGUCUCAGAGAAGAAAUCCAGGAUAUCAUAUUCCUGCAUGAGAUCUUUUCCUUUUUCUUUUUAAGACCAGCUCCACGUUAAUAUUCCAACCCUAAUUUUUUUCUGAAGGAUUCUAGAUUUAUGGAGCCAGUUGUCAAUGGCCGAGCCCACACAAGGGGCAGUAGUCCAAAUGUCACAAACAAGAUCUUUAAAACCUGGUUGGUCAAGCCACCAUUUUUCAAAAUGAAAAGGUUUAGGGAAGGUAACCCUCCUAGCUUUAGUGUCCAAGAUCAGCAGGGUAUGAUCACUCCCCACCCUUGGAAGGGCAGUAAGAACAGAAGGGGGAAAUGGGAAUCCCAGGUGGUGGAAACAAAAAUACGAGAACCUCUUGAUUAUUACUCCAAGUAUAGCUUCUAUUAGCAAUCUUAAUCUCUAAGAGACCCCAUUUAUUGAUCCAAUAAUUAAAUAAGUAAGAAUAGUGGUUAUAAUUAAAUCAUUGUUCUUAUCAUCUGCGGAUCUAACUAGAUUAAAAUCUCCACCCAAAAGAAUAGGAUAAGAAAAGUUAUGCAUCACAUCAUGCAAUUCAGCAAUGAACUCAAUUUUAAACUCAUUAUACGCAGUACCAUAGACAGCCACAUAAUGCCACGGGAAACCAUCAUCUUUAUUCUUAAUAGUGACAAUGACACAAUACUUUUUAUUGAUAAAACCGAUAACCUCAAAAAGGUCAUUUUUAAGGCCCAAGAGGAUGCCACCAGUAGUAUUAUUAGCAUGUAAAGUAUGCCAUCAGAAGUCAUUUCUACCAGCGAUGGUCUUAAGAAUAUGUUGAUCAAAGUCUUUAUCUGCGACCCUGCGAACCCAAACAAGCUCUCAAAGAGGAGCGGCGCUAACCCUAGCCGCCGGGCACCGCCGCACCUCCAGCCUUCCUCUCCCCGCCGCUGCCAGCGAGCGUCGGCGGGCAAAGCCCGCGCGGCGUCGGCGGGUUUUCCUUCCCUGCGAGCGAGGCAGGCUGCACGGGGCUGCUGCGCCAAGCGAAGACAAGGGCGCUGCGGUGUGUGACUGGGCGCGGGUUGGCAUUGCCCGGCACGCCAUGGCGGUGAGUGGCGGCGUGCACACGUGCCAGCGGCGCGAGGAGGUCGCGGGUCCCACAUGCGCGGGGUCGUCGCGGUCGACCGGGGCAGAUCUGGCCUCUGCCGGCUUAUGGCUGUAGGGCGAGGCGGGGGUGCCGGCGCACGCGCCGUUGGCGUGAGGAGGCCUCUAGCGCCAGAGGAACGGGGUCGGCCAGAUCUGGUCGUUGCUCGCUCACGGCGGGAUGGUUUGGCGCCGCGGGGCAGCUUAUCAGAUGGCUGUGUUUUGCACCUGGGUCGGCUGCGUUUUGGCAUGUGGAGGCAUUAGCGGUGGAGUCGGGGUUGUUGGUGGUGUUUCUCCUUCAAGCGCGUACACGCCCGACUCCCUUGAGCAGUGGUGCCGUCCAGUUUGCCUGGGGCUUCACCAGGCUCGCGUAGACCAGAUCCAACACGAGUACUCUUGCUCUUGCGCGCGGUGGUGCGGACGGUGCAAUUUGGUUUGGAUCCCGCCCAGUUCUGCGCGCUGCGGUGCGGACGGGCUAUGUCCGGUUUCCCCUCUACCUUUCUUGUGUGCUGCGGUGCAGAGGAUCGCCCAAUUCUGCGCACGGAGGUAGAGGAUGGCCAAAUCCGGCUUGGCUCGCCUAGGGUCUGCGAGCGGCUAUGUGGACCGACUAGGUUGGCGUGUGCUCGCCGAGUUCCUGCGUGCGGCUUCAACAUACUCGUUGUUGGUAGUGUUCGCAUGGGUUGUGAUGCUCCGUGGCGCUGGUGGCCUCGGAUUCUGGGAUUGUUGGUGGAAGGCUCGGCUCCGAAUGAAAAUCAUGCAUCGACCUUGUCGUUGCCGGCGGUAGCGGCAUCCACGGAUGUCGUCAUCCUCCUUGGAGGUAUCGUUGUGGAGCCGCUUGCCCUUCCCACUGAGCGGCGGGAGAUCUUCGGGUGAAAACCUAAGAUCGUGCAGUGCCAGAUCGGGUGACAGCGGUGUCCUCAACAUCGUUUUCCUCCUUGGGGGCGUCACCUUAGUGAAUCUCGGCGAUGGAUCCGAUGGUGUUCAUAAUUGAUGGUACAGCUUGGGUUUGUGGUGCUGUCGAUGGGUCCUUUUAAUUUCUUUUCUUCUUGCACUAUUUUUUCGGUGCUUUCCUCCUUUGAGGAUUCUUGUAACACCUUCUUCUGAUCAAUGAAUUUGGCAGUUCUCCUACGAACAUUAAAAAAAUAAUAUGUUGAUCAAUCACUUCUCUCUUGGUUUCAAAGAAACCAACAAAAUCCUCUAGAUUAUUAUUAAUAAAAUCUCUUAGGCACUGAAGUUUGCCAUGUUCACCUAACCCCCUAAUAUUCCAAAACACACCUAUCAUUUUACUAUGAAAGGAUGAGACAAACCACAAGGCCGAUUCUUAGUAUGAAGAACUAGGCUAUCCCUCCCUAAAUCAGCAGUGCCCCCUGAUCUAAGAAUGGGAUCAGCACCAUGAGGUGAUAUGAGAUCAUCAACAGUAAUAUCUAAAUUACCAGGAAGUAUGAAAGGAUCGAUAUGGUUGACUAGAGGGGGGUUGAAUAGGCAACUAGCAAUUUUUAGCUUUUCUUUACCAAAUUAAACUUAGCAUCAAAAUAGGUUACCUAGAUGUGUAACUAGGUGAGCAACCUAUAUGAUGCAACAACAACAACAACAACAACAAGCACACAAGCAAGCAAGGGAUACAACACAAUAUAAGCUUGCACAGGUGAAGGUAAGAGAUAACCAAGAGUGGAGCCGGUGGAGACGAGGAUGUGUUACCGAAGUUCCUUCCCUUUGAGAGGAAGUACGUCUCCGUUGGAGCGGUGUGGAGGCACAAUGCUCCCCAAGAAGCCACUAGGGCCACCGUAUUCUCCUCACGCCCUCACACAAUGCGAGAUGCCGUGAUUUCACUAUUGGUGCCCUUGGAGGCGGCGACCGAACCUUUACAAACAAGGUUGGGGAAAUCUUCACAACUUAAUUGGAGGCUCCCAACGACACCACGAAGCUUCAUCACAAUGGAAUAUGGCUCCGCGGUGACCUCAACCGUCUAGGGUGCUCAAACACCCAAGAGUAACAAGAUCCGCAGGGGAUUAGUGGGGGAAUCAAAUUUCUCUUGGUGGAAGUGUAGAUCAGAGCCUUCUCAACCAAUCACUAGAAAAUCAACAAGUUCGAUUGGCUAGGGAGAGAGAUCAGGCGAAAAUGGAGCUUUGAGCAACAAUGGAGCUUGGGGAGGGAAGAGGUUGAUCUUGUUGGGGAAGAAGACCCCUUUAUAUAGUGCGGGAAAAGAUCCAACCGUUACCCCCUCACUCAGCCCGCGACACGCGGUACUACCGCACACGCUUGCGGUACUACUGCUCGCGCGAUAGAGGCCAGAUGAGGUCCUGCUGCACUGGGCAAUGAGCGGUAGAACCGCCGAAGCGGUACUACCGUGCGCCCCUAUGGUACUACCAUAAGGCAGGGCUCAACUGGUGCUGGAAAUAGCACGGAAGAAAUAAAUUGCUUCUGUGGCUACUUCCGCUGAGGUCAGAGCUGUGCAAAAGUCCGGCACGGUACUACCGCUCGCAGGGAGAGGUACUACCGCGUAGGGGCGGAAGUAAAAAAUUUACUUCUGCGCCUACUUCCGCAUGCGCCAGCGUUAGGGCUGGAGGCAGCGGUACUACCGCUCGCCUGAGCGGUACUACCGCGGACCCCUGCGGUGCUACUGCUCCCUUGAGCAGUACUACCGCACGUCACAGAAACUAUAGCACUUGGCAGCCUUCAUAUUGCAGAGAAAAGAAUAACCGGAUGGUGCUCCAUCGAAGCGAAGGAAAGGUGGUGUAAAGGAACAGAUGUGUACGUGUUGAUUCCACCCUAACCUUUCCGAAGCGGACCCCUUCUUAAUAGUACGGCUUUCCUAUGACUCAAAUCCACCGAAAGGAAACAUAGAGAACCGCCGUCUUCGAUAGGCUUCGAGGGACACCGAAUCGUCUUGUGCCUGGGCAUGGGAUAUCUGAAAUGCUCAAUGCACAUGAUUAGUCCGCAAAUGCACUGUCAUCAAUCACCAAAACCACAUAGGGAGAACUAUGCCCUUACAGUCUCCCCCUUUUUGGUGGAUUGAUGACAAUACGGGAUUUACACAUAGGGAUAUAAAAUGAACAUAAGCAAACCCAAGAUCUAAAAAAUAUAGACAGGCUCCCCCUAGAUGUGUGCACUCUAUGGAUAUGCUUUGGACUGCACAACACACAUACUAGGAUCAACACUCCCCCUAUAUUUUAUAGACAAGGCAAUCCUUGCAACAAACUAAGUGACACUAAGCAUGGAGGCAAGGUAUAGUAAGUGAGCAUGAAGUAGAGGGCACAAGAUAAAAUAAGCUCACAAUCUACUAAACAUACUAGACAAUAAAGGAUAAGCUUGAGGGCAUAUGUCUCACACCAUAUGAUAGAAUAGGUCUCCUGGACUCACACGCACAUGAACACAAACCAACAAACCAGAGCAACGAAGGUUCAACGAAACGAAAGCAAAGAGACACAAGACUAGUAAAUCCUAGACUCUCUCCCCCUUUGGCAUCGAGACACCAAAAAUGCAGAGAGGACACCUACGACACAAGUGGUAGCUCCCACUGACGUGAUCACCCAUCAAGCUCCUCAUCUGUCUCAGCAGCAGGAAUGGGCUCCUCAUCUGACUCAACCCACUGAUAUCCUUGCUUCGUCAUCCAAGCAGCCUUAGGAGUGAUGUUCUUCUUGGACCCGCUCAAGACUUGCACGCCAAGAUUCCUCAAGAUCCUCUUGUCACACCGGUGACUCUCCUUCUGAGCAACGUGGGCCCGGUACUGCCCCUUGGCCUGCAUGUAGAACAGAGACUUCACCUUCGCCUUGAGAUUCUUAGCCCAAGAUGGCUCAGAAGAGGGAGGUGCAUACCCCUCAGAACUGUCCUCCGCCUCCUCCUCUUCAAACUCAUCAUCAUCAACAUCCAUGCGUGCAGCCUCGGCCUCAGCCCGGGUAGUGGUGUUAGCCCACUUGCUCUUUUGGCGGAGCUUAAUGGGCUCAUGGCGAAUCCAGUUGGGAGCAAGAAUCUCUUCACUCGGAAAGAGCUUCUCCCAAGUCUUCGAGAUCAAGAGGUGACAAAAAGAUCCAUAGAUGGGCACCUUGCGAUGGAACACAUCAAACUGAAGCUCACACCACAUGAUAUGAGAGACAACAAGUGGUUCAGGUUGUUGACGACGUGCUUCCACACAGAUGAGCAUCAUGUCCACGAGAUAGGAGCGCACCUUGUCCUUGUCGCCUAUGCGAGGAAAAAGAGAGUUGCGGAAGAUCCGGUGCAUGAUGUCAAGAAACGGAUUCAACACAAAAGACUUCUUGCCAUUGGGGAGAGGUUUCUCAACAAGAAAGUGUUGAAGCUUGUUCUUGUUAGCAGACUCUGGGUUGGCAUGUGGGCGAAUACCAACGGGCACAUCAAGCCCCUCAUCAUGAAUGUUCAACAUAUCCAUGAACUCCUUCCACUCAGCAGGCAUCCACUUGCCAUUUGUCAUCCAAGUCAUGGUCCGCUUCUCAUCCAUGUGAAAGUGGACAGAAGCAAAGAACUGAGCCACAAGCUCCGGGUCAAAGUCAAGGUGGAAAGUGAUGAUCCCCUCAAUACCAAACUGCUCCACCAAAUCCAGAGGCUCACCAAAAUAUGCACGGUUCUUCUUCAAAUGUUCCAUGUCAAUCCACUGAACUGGCACAUAGAUGAUACUUUAAUGCUAUGGUUGGGUUUUACCUUAAUGAUCUUUAGUAGUUACGGAUGUUUGUUAGAGUUCCAAUCAUAAGUGCAUAUGAUCCAAGAAGAGAAAGUCUGUUAGCUUAUGCCUCUCCCUCAUAUAAAAUUGCAAUAAUGAUUACCGGUGAAGUUACCGGUUGCCUAGGGACAAAUAACUUUCUUGUGACAAAAAGAUCUCUACUAAAACUAACUUAGUUGUUUCUCUAUCUAAACAACCCCUAGUUUUUAUUUACGUGCUCUUUAUUAUCUUGCAAACCUAUCCUACAACACCUUCAAAGUAAUUCUAGUUUCAUACUUGUUCUAGGUAAAGCGUGCGUAGAGUUAUAUCGGUGGUCGAUAGAACUUGAGGGAAUAUUUGUUCUACCUUUAGCUCCUCGUUGGGUUCGACACUCUUACUUAUCGAAAGAGGCUACAACUGAUCCGCUAUACUUGCGGGUUAUCAAGGCGCUAAAUGUAUCAUUGGUGAGCAUGUUCCCACGCAACCGCACAAGGUUCCCGCCCGCCUAGUUUGGCCACGCAUCGACUAGAAGAGGGGCAAACUGUGGGCGUUUAUUGGCAAAAAGUUUUGGAAAAACGACGUGUGUGGAAUGACUUUGAUCAUAAGUUUACCCAUGGGUGAUGAGGUCAAAGUUACACAGAAGGGUUAUGAUGGACACUCGAGUGUGAUAAUUAAUUUUGCGCUCUACAGGGCACACAAUUGAAGAAACCAACUAUGUGUAAUAAUGUCGAAGAUCGCAGUCGACUUAGCUAUAUAGAUCGUUUGCUAUGAGAUCGACAAGGGAAACACAUUCGAGAAUGGUUAAUAAAAUCUAAGUCCAUUGCAUAGGUCAAAAUAGUACUAGCAAUAUACGAGUCUCAUAUGAUGCCAUUUCAACGAUUGUACCACAAAAGCCCAAAAUAUUACAAGGUUCAAAUCCAGAGUUAUAUGGCUCAAAUUCGAAGAUUAUAAGGUUCAAACUGAUAUUAAAAACGAAAUUCAGCUCAUUCAGCUGCAAACGCCCGCGCUAAUCAACUGAACAUGGAUAUAAGAGAGGUUUAAACUAAUAUUACCACUUGUAAGGCUUGUUUCGAAACCUCAUCAUUUCUGCAAAGGGAUCAGCCAGUGACAAGUCAUGUAUGGGGUUGACACGAUGACUUUCGAUUACUCUGUCAUCUGAAGUUCCAAAAUGAAAUUCAUCUUUUUCGGAGACUUUUCCAUUCUGCAGCUGCCGCCGGCGCUGAUCAACAAACCAUUCAUUUUUGUGAAAUAAAUCUAGGGCAAGCCUCAUUACCUUCAGCACCCUUGCUCUGACAACAAAGAACCUGGCGAAUAUAAUCUCCGGUAAGGUCCCUCGAUAGGAGUUCAAAGUAAUUUCUGAUAGAUGCAGAUCUAGACAUUCGAUGUGAUUAUUAUAUUGUAUCACAUUAUCCACCACCAGGCCUAAUCUUAUCUGCAAAAUAAGAAAACGUGUUAGUGCCUACAUACAGUUUUGAACACUACUAUAGGCCUAUUUGGUUUGCAGGAUUUGUAAAAUGCACUAACGUGCCAUCUUCGAUCCGACAUGAUUAACAUGGGCAUUUGAAUACAUUCUAGAAAAGUGUGGCAUUCUUCACAAGAGAUUUGAGUGGCCGAAAAAAUCCAUAAGAAAACUAGUACAUAUGAAUCCAUAGGAGAAAUGCUUAUGGAUUGUAACCAUAUGAAUCAAGCAACCAAUAUGGGGGGGGGGGGACAUUUGUGUGCUGAAAUCCUCCAAAAUUCCUUCAGAAAUCAUAGUGCAUUGUCAUUCUAAACUUGGGAAAGGGUGUCAAAAAUUGAACUCCCUUAUAGUUAACAUUUAACAGGAAAGGAACAUCACCUAGAUAUAUAGCUUCUCCAGGCACGGAAAGCAUCUCAUUAAACUAACAACUUGGUCUAGGUUGGGGCUGAUAGAUUCUAGUGCCAAGACCUUCACUGUGCGCAGAUUCGGGGUCAAGCUUGUCGGAAUCAUUUUCUAGAUGACAGACGAACAUACAUCUUCAAAAUUAGAAAUAAUGUUAAUUUCAAGGAGAGGUAGAAGGCGACUGUUGUACCUGAACGAGUGUGGAUCCAAUAACAAGUUCGGAGUAUUUGACAGACGAGUACCCACCACUGUCAAUUUCGGAGCAGAAAUGGCAUUGAUUCUUGUUGGACCUUCUUGAUCAACUACGAGUAAUCUCUCAAGUAAGGUGUAUUCUCAAUGACCAUACUGUAGUACACAUUUUGUUAUUUCUAUUUGCAGUACCGGUAACACACAUAAAUAGUCCGGAGAGUCAUGGAGGUGAUGUGGAAGCUACUGAACCCAUUGAUCGCCUGAAGACGAAGGUACUCGAGUGCAGUACUGCCGCAGAGUGGGCGCUCCAUGUCAUCCUUUGGGAUGCAGACAUCGACGAGCUCGAGGUGCUUCGGUCGUGGUAGAAAAAGAGCGGGCACGUCAUUAGGGGGGAUGGCGAUUCAAGAACUUGGUGAGGCACAGCGUGGGCGCGAGGUGGAGGGCGGGCGUUGGCAGCGAGCGCAUAUGCCCAUCAUUAAAACUGAGAUCCUCCAUCUUUUAGGCCAGGAGAUCGGAACCAGUCAUCAAGCUUGGCUCGGUCCUUGUUGUUGGAAUGGAACUUGCCCAUGCUAAGGCCUCUGAUUGGGCCAUGGUGACUGCUGAGGAUCUGGGAUAAUGCAUCCAAGCUCUUGCUAUAGCCAUCGCAGAGCUCGUGGGCGUCGGUGAGGUCGAGAGGGGUGGAGUGCCAUAGGGGGUGCCAAUGCCGGGAAAGGUCGGUUGUCCGCGCCCCAUAUUUGAUUGAGAGGAGGGAGAUGAUGACUAUCAAUAUAUCAUUAGGGAGGCUGCUGAUGAAGUCUAGGCCUGCGGCAGUCGCUUGCGGUUCUUGCUCGACCCGUCUCCGCUUGUUGGCAGUCUCGUUCUUCACCUCCAGAGUCUCCUCGUCAGCGCCGCUUUCUGAUAGAACUGCGGGUAUAGGGAAUAUUUAGUUAAAACAGGGCAAAAGAAAAGUGUAUUGGUAACUAGAAGUUAGUAGAUAGGAAUAGAGUAAGAAAAUGGAAUAACUAUUGGUUGCUUCAAUACUACACGAUUCCUUUGAUAUUGCUGGGUAAGUCAACGUGCAGAUACUUGAAAAGAAUACUUACUUCGAACAAAGUCUGGACGAAUGAUAUCGUCGGGGAAGUUAGCAUAUAUGUCAUGACCAAGCUCUUUUAUGUGCUGCGCAAUUUUAGUGCCAGCUUUCAGUACAUAAAACUUAAAAAUUUCUGUCCAAAGGCUCGUGCCAAAAUAGGAGUGACCAUGUUCAUCAAGUCUUACAGAAACAACGAUUGUAAAUCCAUGGUUUGUGUUUAGUAUGACAUCCCUGCAAUCUUGAGUUAUGUGAAGGGUAAGAUUGUGUACUACAGAUGAUGUUGCAUAGCAAGGGAUGUGCUGCAGAAAAUGGUAGGAUUGUUAAAGAAUAUGGUAACAAGCAAAUAUGGGCGAAAUUGAAAGAACAGUACAUCAGUUGAAAUCAAAGGACAUAAAUCUAUAAUUAAACAGAUAGUGUAACCAUGAUAUCAUGGAAAUAUGAGAGUAAUCAAAAGAACAAUAUAUCAUUAAGUUGCCUACCUCGGAGGCACACGAUGGUAGCGGCAAACCAAGGCGCAAUAAGAAUAAGUGCAUGCACAAGAACAACAGCAACGAUGCAGAGGACAUCGUAGUCAACGUAGGGUUCAACGGCCCUAGGGCCGGACAGAAAAAGAUGCCCUUUAAAGGGAAUACGGACGGUCCUAGCCAGCUUGAUAAAAUCCUCGACAGGCCUUGCCAGAUUCAUGGCACCUCGGACAAACCUUCCAAUCACACUAACCGGAACUACUGGGUCUUUAAGCAGGUCAGAAAGGUCGCAGUAGAGGGGCAAAGCAAAAGCCAGUCCCGCAGCAAGGACGAGGAUGAACCUCAGCGGCCCAAUAAUGGAGGCCAUAAGCAAUUCCCUCCCGAUGUAAAGGAUGUGAACAUGAUGUACGUUACCCACAUCCCUAAAAAGGAACAGAAACACGCACUUCAGAUGUCUACGCUCUAGAGCCCGUCGCCCGAAGUAUAAUCCGUGGUCAGCCUACCCGAUCACAUUCGACAAACACGACCACUCGAACAGUAUCCGUCAUGGAGGGUCUGCGGCUAUGGUUUUGGACCCCAUUGUUGAUGGGUUCCACUUAACACGCGUCCUUAUGGAUGGAGGCGGCAGCCUCAACCUGAUCUAUGCUGACACGAUUAGGAAACUGGGCGUCGAUCCAUCAAGGAUCAAGUCCAGCACUACCACUUUCAAGGGUGCCAUACCCGGCUCGAAGCACGCUACACGGGAACGAUCACAUUGGAGGUAGUCUUCGGAUCUCCCGAAAACUUCCGAAGUGAAGACUUAAUCUUCGACGUUGUCCCCUUCCGCAGUGGCUAGCACGCACUGCUCGGGCGAACUGCAUUCGGUCGCUUCAAUGCGGCCCUGCACUAUACACAUUUAAACCUAAAGAUGUCGAGACCAAAUGGUGUUAUUACAGUCAAUGGUAACACCGAGUGCUCCCUUCGAAUAGAGGAAGAGACCACGAUUUUCGCAGCCGAGGUUUAGGCGUCAAAGGAGGCAGCUCAUAUUCUACCCGGGAAAAAUACACCUAGCUCUUCAAAGCGCAACCGAGGUAUCCCUCCUGUCUUCGGACAGCCAAACACUGACCCUAAAUAGGGCUACACGCUCCUCGCUUCUCCCCCUUUGGUCGAGAAUAAUGUAGGUGUCGGGCCUCUAGGACUGGGGGUACCUAGGCCCGUCUGCCUGCGGCCUAUCGCGUGGCACCAGUAGACGGCCCGGCGCGGUCCAACUUCAAGGAUUCACGAGCAAGACCCUCGCAAGGGCCCCCGCCUCGCGAGGCGAACGUCAUCAAGGGUCGUCAAGAGCUCCCGAGGGCCCCACGUAGGGCGGCCUCCCGAAGCAGCCUCCUGAGGCCCCUCGCGGGGCGGAUAUAUCUAGGCUUGUCAAGCCGCCUCGCGCUGCAUGUGGGACACGCAAGCCACGACGAGCGACACCAAGAGCCGUGCCAGCAGGCGCAGAUAAGGAUACUUUCCUCUUUUGUGCUAAGGAGGCAAGGACAACACGCGGGUUCCCAAAGCAAACCCCAAAGGUUGCCACUUUGGUGCAAGAAGACUAGGACAGCGGGCUCGCCAGGACGGAGGUCAUCACCAAGCCCACCACCGUGUCACAGCAGGAGCUUUGACUGGCGAAGACCACUUUUAGUCAGGAUAAGAUGUACUUCUACCUUCCUUCAAAAUUGUCUGUUGUGGCAACCCUUCCCCCUUAGAGAUUUUGGGGGAAGAGGACUGAGGCCAGUACAAGUAUAGGCUAGUCUCCACCAUAGAGAAGGGUCCGAAACUUCGCCGAAUCCUUGAGACCCCUCGAGCUAGCCGAGCCUUCCAAGGCAGCUCAUCAUCUCUGUACACACUCAUAUUCAUCCUCCCAUGCAAGGCAAUCCACCACAAAGCAGGAGUAGGGUCUUACACCGCAAGGUAGCCCGAACCUGAGUAAAUUGACGUGUUUGUUGUUCGUCUUCCCUUCUGGUCAAGCAGGUCGGAGCAUCGCCGUGAGGUAGUGAUUAGGGAACCAGAGUUUGGCGUGGUUCUUCGAGCACACCCCCAGAGUUGGAACCUUUCCCGGUCCGCAGAGCCCCGAUUUCAACAUUUGGCGCGCCAGGUAGGGGUUUGCUGAAGCUCUUCCACUCCACUCCGGUUCCCGCCCCACCAUCCUCAUGGCCAACGAUGGCCAUGUUCGCGCUGAGUGUUGGGCGGCUCGUCUCGCCCAGACGAAGCCCGCAGGUCGUGCCGACCACGGCCACUUCGCUUUGCCCGUGGCCAACGCCGCCACCGACCCCGCUGCUCAUGAGCAGCAAGAUUCUUCCAUGCACCCUUCCGUGCAACCCGACGGCCGCACCACGACGCCUUCCCUCACCCCGGCCAUGGCUUCAUCUUCUCAUGCUCGUCGUGGACCGGCGAAUGCGCUGGCUGCGCUGCUCAUGGCGCGUGUGCUGCUACGGUACCGCUCGGCCAAGGAGGGCUAUGACGCCUGGCUUGGCCGCAUCACUGAGCUCGUCAAUGCUGCGGAUGAGGCCCCGACGCCUUCCCACUCACUUCAUCCUCCGUCGUCUCGUGCUGGUGACGUGGCACACGGCGUGCCUCCGCCUCUGCCUCUGUGUGGUGACGACGCCGAGCCCCGGCAUGGCGCGCGGCCGCGUGCCCAGCCGCGCGGAGCACCUGCACCGGCUCGGGACGAGGCCAGCUGCCAGAUCGUGCACCGCGCGCUGCUUGAUGCGCAUGCAUCCCUCGAGCGGCAGCGCCUGGACAGGUCGCCCAAGAAGCCGCGACUGCAGGGCGCCAAGAUCGCUCUGCCCACGCGCGAGGCCUGCCUUUGAGCGGCGCCGGCUGCCGAGCCUUCACUCCCGAGCUGCGCCGAGUGGUUUGGCCAGUCUAGUUGAAGCAAGAACUACCCCCGCGCUACGACGGCGUCCUCGACCCCAUGGAGUUCCUUCGGCUCUACGCGCUAAGGAUUGAGGCAGCGAACGGCGAUGACAAGGUCAUGGCGAACUGGUUUCCCAUGGCCCUCAAGAAUGGCGCGCGCUUUUGGCUCAUGAACCUGCCCGAAGGGUCAAUCUCUUCAUGGGAUGAGCUUCAUGGGCAGUCCAUCGCCAACUUCUAGGGCACUUGCGACCACGCCCUCACCAUCAACGACCUGAGGCGUGUGAAGCAGCGCCCUGGCAAGACCCUCCGCAAGUACAUUCAUCGCUUCAUCCAAAUGCGCCACAAGAUCCCGAGGGCCUUGGACAAAGCCAUCAUCUCUGCAUUCACCAAUGGCGUCACGGAUGUCAGGAUGAGCAAGAAGCUCGCCGUCGACGACGACCUGAGUACGGCGCUGGAACUGUUCAACAUGGACGAUAAGUGCGCCAAGGCAGAGGAAGGCUGCCUCUUCCUCCUCAACAACCUGACACCGAGCCAGACGACAAGAAAGCCAAGACCAAGGAGGUAGAGCGCAAGGGCCCUGCCGUGCUGGCGGUGGAGCCUAAGCAAAAGUCCCCUGGCUAGGUUGUGGUCUCCCUAUUUAUACUGUCCCUUCCCCCCUCCUUCCCGGGGGAUUGCCACAUGGCCAGCUUGCAUGGGGAGAGUGAGAAGGGAGAAAAGGCAUGUACCAAGCCCGACAUGACCGGGCUUGCACCUUUCGCCCAUGCCGGGUUGGGUGCUACAGGACGUCCCUAUAGCCACGCGCGGGGUCAGUGGCAUCACGCCAGGCCCUGUAGCUAACCACGGUGCGGCAGUGCCAUGUAGGACAUGCCCAUCCGGACGACUGAUGUCAAUCGUUACAGCGUUGUUGGUACUUUAUGCCUCAGACAGGCAGUCCUUUCAUUUCCUUCACGAGGAAGGAAACACUCUCCGGGCUUCAAAGGCUUCCCAGACGUCCUUCCGGGAAGUCCUUGCCGGGCCGAGUUCCCGACAAGCGUGGCUCUGUCUUGUCGGGGAAACGGUCUCCUGUGCGUUUUGUCGAGAGCCGCUACCAAGUCCCAGGUUCUGCCAUCCGUGGGUAACCCUAGUUUAUGUUGGGCCGACGGUUAUAGUAAACGCUCCUUAGGCUAUGACUAGCACUCCAACCCCUUAACCGAGGGGGAGGCUAGUCCUGUGUUUUAACUUUUGGCCGAAAAAACAGAAUUUCAGACAACUCGGCCUGGGGCGAAAUCUAUCUUUCGGCCAAAAUUGGUCAAAAUAUAGUUAAAUGUUAGUCAAAUUUCGGCCGAAGUUUUUAAAAAUGACCGAAAUUCGGCCAUCUCUACUGGAAUUUAGUCUAUUUUGGGCAGCCCAAUAACUAUUUCAGAAAUUUCUAAUAAAUCCUAGAGGCCCACUUAGCCCAUUUGUGCAAGGCAAGGGAUACUACUAAGUUUAGUCCCACAUUGCUAGUUUAGUGGGAGUUGGACCUCCUUAUAAGGGAGGUUCUUUCCCCACUUGUACGAGCAUGAGAACAAGAGGGAUAUCCACGCGCGCUCCUCCUCCGCCGCCCGCCUCGCCACGCCUCGUCACGACGUGCCGCGCCGCGCCGCGGGUUGCGGGAAUGAGCCGAGCCGAUAUUUAAAAUUUUGCCACGCACUACGGGUAUAUGAAAGGUCACACGAAAGCUGAAAAGAUUUUUGCGAAAGUGGAGUUCGAAUGCGAACGGUGCAGCCCUUCGGCUGCUGGCUGUUCGCUUCGCCUCUGUCUCUUCGUUCCGCCUCCCGUCGCUGCCCUCUCGCCUCCUUCUCUUGCGCCUAUAAAAGGGAGGUCGCUCCUCCCAGAGAGACGCACCAGAACUACUCCUUUCCUCGCCAUCGGUUUCAUCUCUGAGCUGCUGCUGUCUUCCUCAUCCCGGCUUGCGGCGUGCACCGCACGUCAGGACAGUAGGCCUCCGAGACCGCACCUUUUGAGUCAUGUACGGGAGAACGAUGAUAAGGUUUUUGGGGAGCGCUCUACGCGACUACUGGCUUCUUCAUCACGGACUCCGACGACUACUUCCCCGACAACGACUUCUUCCCCGACGUCGACUACCUCAGCAACGACAUGGCUGGAGAGGAUGUCGACCCCAAGUCCAGUGCUUCUGCUGCUGCUGUCCCGUAUGUGUUCUUCUUCUUUCUGUCAGAUGUCCUGCCAUAGUUUCUCGUACUAGUACUUGCCCUACAUGUGUUAGGUUCUACUCCAUAUAUGCAACAUGAUCUAGUGUCUGUCCUAGAUGUGUUCAGUUUAAGUUCAUAUAUGCAAAUGCUAUUUACUUUUUCUCCGUCAGGUUGCAUGACUUGCUUUAUCGCGGCUAUAUUAGUCAUGCUUUAUCUAAUAUUUUUGUUAAUAAAAUCAUUUGGUAAAUUUCUCAUAUUUCCAACAAUCCAAAAACCUUAUUAUAGGUAAUUUACCCCAAGUGGUUUUGCUGCUUCCAUGAGACCUCCUAUGUUUGAGGGUAUCCACUAUAAGAGGUGGCGCGUGAGAGCAAUCUUAUGGUUUCAAACCAUGAGUUGCUAUGACGCCACUCUUGGCAAACCUGGAGGAGAGCUUGAUGCUCAACAGGCACAAGCUUUUCAGAAAAUGGAUUCUCUGUUUAAGGCUGCUCUCUUGAGUGUUCUUGGUGAGAACAUAGUUGAUGCUUAUGCGUCAAUUGAUAAUGGAAAAGAUAUGUCGGAUGCACUCGAGGCCAAGUUUGGGGUCUCGGAUGCUGGCACUGAGCUGUACAUCAUGGAGCAAUUCUAUGAUUACAGGAUGACUGAAGAGCGCUCCGCGGUUGAGCAAGCUCAUGAGAUACAGUCAUUUGCUAGAGAACUUGAGCACUUCAGUUGUAUACUACCGGACAAGUUUGUUGCCGGAGGUAUCAUCACUAAGCUUCCUCCUUCGUGGAGGAACUUUGCUACCUUGUUGAAGCAUAAGAGGCAGGAGUUUUCCGUCCCGGAUCUCAUUGGUACUCUUGAUGUGGAAGAAACGGCGAGAGCAAAGGACACACGUGCUCGAGAUAUUGAGGGAGGAUCUAGUGCCAAUCUGGUACAGAAGAACUUUCAGUCCCACAAGUUCAAGAACAAGGGAAAGUUUGAUGGUAAAGCAAAGUUUGAUGGGAAGAACAAGGCUGUGCAACACACAAACUUCAAGAAGAAGAAUGACAAGAAGAAAGGUGCUUGUCGUGUGUGUGGGGAUCCUGAUCAUUGGGCUCCUAGUUGCCCUAAUCACUAUGACAAGCGUCAUCCUGGGAAAGGCGGCAAGACCGCUAAUGUUGUCAUUGGAGACACUGACAUGAAGGAUGCUGGGUAUGGUAUAUUUCCCACUAUUCUUUCAGUAUGUCAUUCUCCUGAUUGGUUGAUUGACACGGGUGCUAAUGUGCAUGUAUGUAGUGAUAUUUCCAUGUUUUCGUCUUAUCAGACCGCAGGGACUUCAACCGUGCUGAUGGGCAACGGUUCAAGUGCUUCUGUUCGUGGUGUUAGCACGGUCGAUCUGAAGUUUACUUUGGGAAAGAUCGUGCGGCUGAAGAACGUGCAUUAUGUCCCCUCCAUCAAUAAAAAUCUUUGUUAGCGGAUCUCUUCUGUGUAGAGAUGGCUACAAGCUUGUCUUUGAGUCGAAUAAAUUUGUAAUAUCCAAGUAUGGAACCUUUGUUGGUAAAGGCUAUGAGUCAGGAGGUCUGUUUCGUUUAUCCUUAUCAGACGUUUGCAAUAAAGUUGUUAAUCAUAUUUGCAACAAUAGUGAAUCGAAUGUGUGGCAUUCAUGUCUUUGUCAUGUUAACUUUGGUUGCAUGUCGCGACUAGCGAAGUUGAACUUAAUCCCUAAUUUCAUAAAUGUCAAGGGAUCCAAGUGUCAAGUGUGUGUGCAAGCUAAACAAUCUCGUAAGUCACACACGACUGCGGAAACGAGAAAUCUUACACCACUAGAGCUCAUACAUUCAAAUCUAUGUGAAAUGAAUGGUGUUUUGACAAAAGGUGGAAAGAAAUAUUUCAUGACGUUAAUUGACGACUCCACUAGAUACUGCCGUGUGUAUCUUCUGAAAUCUAAGGAUGAGGCUUUGAACUUUUUCAAAAUCUAUAAAGCUAAAGUGGAAAACCAACCUGAUCAAAAAAUCAAGAGGCUUAGGUCCGACCGUGGUGGAGAGUAUUUUUCCAAUGAAUUUGAUGCUUUUUGUGCGAAACAUGAUAUAAUCCAUGAGAGGACGCCUCCCUAUUCACCUCGGUCAAAUGGGGUAGCCGAAAGAAAGAAACGUACUCUAACUGAUUUGGUUAACGCCAUGUUAGACACAUCGGGUCUCUCCAAGGCAUGGUGGGGGGAGGCGAUAUUGACGGCAUGUCAUGUCCUAAACCGAGUUCCCACAAAGAACAAAGAGAUAACUCCAUUCGAGGAAUGGAAGAAGAAAAGGUCAAAACUCUCUUAUCUACGAACAUGGGGUUGUUUGGCGAAAGUCAAUGUUCCAAUUCCAAAGAAGCGGAAGCUUGGACCAAAGACUGUGGAUUGUGUUUUCCUGGGAUAUGCUUUUCAUAGCAUUGGCUAUAGAUUCUUGGUUGUAAAAUCUAAGGUACCUGACAUGCAUGUCGGUACGAUCGUGGAGUCGAAUGAUGCGACUUUCUUUGAAGAUAUCUUUCCCAUGAAGGAUAUGGCUACCUCAUCUAAUCAGGAGAUGCCUGGUUCAUCGAAUCAGGAACCAGUUACAAUUACCGAACCUAGAAUUUCGAUGGAACACUUUGAAAGUCCUGUGGAGGAGAACAAUGAAGUUCCUAUUAGAAGCAAGAGACAGAUGACUGCAAAGUCCUUUGGUGAUGAUUUUCUUGUGUACCUCAUAGAUGACACUCCCAAUUCUUUUUCAGAGGCCUAUGCAUCUCAAGAUGCUGACUACUGGAAGGAAGCGGUUCGUAGCGAGAUGGAUUCCAUCUUGGCGAAUGAAACUUGGGAGAUAACUGAUCGUCCUUAUGGGUGCAACUUAUAGGAUGCAAAUGGGUAUUCAAGAAGAAGCUUAGGCCUGAUGGUACUAUUGAAAAGUACAAGGCUCAGCUCGUGGCUAAGGGAUAUACCCAAAAGGAAGGUGAAGACUUUGAUACUUACUCACCCGUGGCUUGACUGACCACUAUUCAAGUUCUACUUUCACUAGCUGGCUCGCAUGGUCUUCUCGUUCAUCAAAUGGAUGUUAAGACUGCUUUCCUAAAUGGAGAGUUGGACGAGAAAAUCUAUAUGGAACAACCAGAUGGGUUUGUACUAGAUGGUCAGGAAGGAAAAGUGUGCAAGUUGCUGAAGUCUUUGUAUGGACUCAAGCAAGCACCUAAACAGUGGCAUGAGAAGUUUGAAAGAAUUUUAACAGCCGCAUGCUUUGUUGUAAACGAAGCUGACAAAUGUGUGUACUAUCGCCAUGGUGGGGGCGAGGGAGUUAUCCUUUGCUUGUAUGUUGACGACAUACUGAUUUUUGGAACAAACUGAAUGUUAUUAAGGAGGUCAAGAAUUUCCUAUCUCGUUGUUUUAAGAUGAAGGAUUUAGGAGUGGCUGAUGUCAUUCUGAACAUUAAGUUGUUGAGAGACGAUGAUGGUGGGAUUACAUUGCUUCAAUCUCACUAUAUGAAAAAGAUCUUGAGUCGCUUUGGCUAUAAUGACUGCAAGCCCUCUCCAACACCUUAUGAUGCAAGUGUGUUACUUCGAAAGAAUCAAAGAAUUGCUAGAGACCAAUUGAAGUAUUCUCAGAUUAUUGGCUCGCUUAUGUACUUAGCCAGUGCUACAAGACCUGACAUCUCUUUUGCUGUUAGCAAAUUGAGUCGGUUUGUCUCAAAACCAGGAGAUGUGCAUUGAAAAGCUCUAGAAAGAGUUUUGCGUUAUUUGAAAGGCAUUGCGAAGUAUGGAAUUCACUACACCGGCACCCAAAGGUGCUUGAAGGGUAUAGUGAUUCAAACUGGAUCUCAGAUGCUGAUGAGAUAAAGGCCACGAGCGGAUAUGUAUUCACUCAUGGAGGUGGCGCUGUUUCUUGGAAGUCUUACAAGCAGACCAUCUUAACGAGGUCAACAAUGGAAGCAGAACUCACAACACUAGAUACAACUACGGUCGAAGCAGAUUGGCUUCGUCGGCUCUUGAAUGACUUGCCGGUUGUUGAGAAACCUGUACCGGGUAUCCUUAUGAACUGCGACAAUCAAACUGUGAUCACGAAAGUGAGCAGCUCAUAGGAUAACAUGAAGUCAUCAAGACAUGUUCAGAGAAGGUUAAAGUCUGUCAAGAAAAUGAAAAACUCGGGGAGUUAUUGCAUUGGAUUAUAUCCAAACGUCUAAAAAUCUGGUAGAUCCUUUUACUAAGGGUCUAUCACGUAAUGUGAUAGAUAAUGAAUCAAGGAAGAUGGGUAUGACACCCACAAUAUGAGUUGUUCACAGUGGUAACCUAUUCUUUGUGAUCGAAGAUUCCGUAAAUUAGAUGUGGAAGACAAGCUGUUGGUCAACCGAGAGGAGAGUAUCCUUACUAUUCACAAUACCACUCCAUGAAGAUGCAAUACUCUCCUAAUCUACAUGGCAGGUUGAUGUAUAUCUUAAAGUGUUCUAAGUGGCUUAUUUAAGCAGAGAUGUUAUCCUGCAGAACAUCUUUUGAAGAACACAUCUAUAUGAGUCUGAUUGUCAAACGUCGCAAUCUAUGAGAGUAGGGUUCUCUCUAGUAAACUCAUGAAAGAUCACGGAGUAUGACACAUAAGCUCCACCCGCGGGGAAGACCCACGGUAGCCAUGUAUCGGUCAAGGCUUUAUGUGAAGCUAGAUUCGCAGAAAACUUGCAGUUCAAGACCCAGUCCACUGUUCAAGUUGCUUACUAGUGUAGCAUAGAAUUCUAGGUGGAAGUUCAACUUAACAGUCCUCACUGCAGUACCAGUAUAUAAAACAGUGUUUUGGAAUCAAAAGCAAAUUUCUGUGUGCCUCUGAGAUCUGGUGGGGGAUUGCUGGAAUUUAGUAUAUUUUGGGCAGCCCAAUAACUAUUUCAGAAAUUCCUAAUAAAUUCUAGAGGCCCACUUAGCCCAUUUCUGCAAGGCAAGGGAUACUACUAAGUUUAGUCCCACAUUGCUAGUUUAGUGGGAGUUGGACCUCCUUAUAAGGAAGGUUCUUUCCCCACUUGUACGAGCAUGAGAAUAAGAGGGAUAUCCACGCGCGCUCCUCCUUUGCCGCCCGCCUCGUCACGACGCGUCGCGCCGCGGGUUGCGGGAAUGAGCCGAGCCGAUAUUUAAAUUUUUGCCACGCAGUAUGGGUAUACGAAAGGUCACACAGAAGCUGAAUUUUUUUUGCGAAAGUGGAGUUCGAAUGCGAACGGUGCAGCCCUUCGGCUGCUGGCUGUUCGCUUCGCCUCCGUCUCUUCAUUUCGCCUCCCGUCGCUGCCCUCUCGCCUCCUUCUCUUGCGCCUAUAAAAGGGAGGUCGCUCCUCCCAGAGAGACGCACCAGAACUACUCCUUUCCUCGACAUCGGUUCCAUCUCUGAGCUGCUGAUGUCUUCCUCAUCUCGGCUUGCGGCGUGCAACGCACGUCGGGACAGUAGGCCUCCGAGAUCGCACCUUUUGAGUCCUGUACGGGAGAAGGGUGAUAAGAUUUUUGAAGAGCGCUAUGCGCGACUACUGGCUUCUUCAUCACGGACUCCGACGACUACUUUCCUGACGACGACUACCUCAACAACGACAUGGCUGGAGAGGAUGUCGACCCCAAGUCCAGUGCUUCUACUACUGCUGUCCCGUAUGUGUUCUUCUUCUUUCUGUCAGAUGUCCUGCCACAGUUUCUCGUACUGGUAUUUGCCCUACAUGUGUUAGGUUCUACUCCAUAUAUGCAACAUGAUCUAGUGUCUGUCCUAGAUGUGUUCAGUUCAAAUUCAUAUAUGCAAAUGCUAUUUAUUUUUUCUCCGUUAGGUUACGUGACUUACUUUAUCGGCGCUAUAUUAGUCAUGUUUUAUCUAAUAUUUCUGUUAAUAAAAUCAUUUGGUAAAUUACUCAUAUUUCCAACAAUCUCAGCUUAAAACGCUGGGCUAGUCAUUCGAACACGCCGUGGGAAACAUUCAAUUGUCCAGGCCGCUCAAUUACCUCCCAAUCAGAAUGUGAACCCACUAGGGUCUAGGGGUGUGGUUCAGAAGUUGCAGGGCAAUGGCUCCACCCAUCGUUCCAUCAACUAGUUGCUUGUAGUAUUAGAAAAAUUGCUACUGGGCCAACUUGCUUGUCGGAUGUGUUGACGGACUUUCUCGUCCACGAUCUGACACUUCGCUUGUCUGACACUGUGCGCAUCCUGACGAGGAAAAUUUGAUCUCCUUCCACGCGAAGUAGUAGAAACUGGAGGCUGUUGAGAAGUUGCUGAGCAAUUGCUCAACCCAACAUUCGUCAUCUUUUCGCAACAACUCGUUGCUUCUAUUGGAAAAUGACGGAUGCGUCACCGGCUGAAAAGAGAGAAGGCGUGCUCCUCCCUAUAGCUUAGGUGUGCUUUCAGAUUCCGUCAUAUUUAAACAAUGCUUUGAUUCCCCUGCGUGUUUAGUGUUUUGGCGACAGCCAACUGAGUUGUAAUAGGAACUUAAAGGUGUGCUUUCAGAUUGUCAGCAAACGAGUCUGACAUCAGGCAAUCUUUUCGUUGCACUGCCGUGGGCUUAGGGGAGUUUGUGAACAGGACAUUUGGCCAGCCAAACUGUGCGUAGACUUGCCGCAGACGUAGCAUCAGUGGAUCACUGAUUUGGUCUUCUUUCCUUUGGCCACGGCCCCAGCACCGGUGUCAUAUUGAUCUUUCGCUUCAGAAAAAAAUCCAGGAUCUUUCAGACUGAAAAUGCCGAAUUUGAAACAAACGGCUCUAAUCAACUUGCUUCGAAUCACUAUCUAAAUUCCUCGCAAAAAAAAGAAACAAAAAAGAAAGAAUACUAUAUAAGCAGAACAAGCUUCUAGUUUGCGUCGCCUAAACGUGUCGACCAUGGUAGUCAUGCAGUUUUUCAUGUUUGCCUCCCUUUGUCUCCCGUGUUUGGCCAAUGCCAUGCAUGUAGCCACCUUGUCCACUGCUGAAACCGCCACAACAAGCAGCACUGACCACCAAGCGCUCGUGUCAUUCGGUUCUCUGAUUAAAGGAGAUCCAUUCCAAGCACUGAAUUCAUGGGGAAACCACUCGAUCCCUGUAUGCCAAUGGCGCGGAGUGGCCUGCGGCACGCGUGGCCACCGCCGCGGACGCGUCGUGGCACUGGAUCUUCACGGGCUCAACCUUGUUGGCACCAUUGCCUCUUCCAUAGGUAACCUAACUUACCUCAGGCAUUUUGCCUUCAAGAGAACAGCUUUUAUGGUGUCAUACCAUCAGAGGUUGGACAUCUCUUACAACUCGAGUAUCUGAACCUUAGCAGGAACUCCAUCGGCGGGGAGAUCCCGCCGACACUGGCCACUUGUGUUCAGCUUCGAGUUAUUGAUCUGAGGCACAACAUGCAUAAAGGCUUGGUGCCCCGGGAGUUGGCAUCCUUGCAUAAUCUUGAGGUAUUGGCUCUUGGGUACAACAACUUUACAGGAAGUAUCCCUGUGGAGAUUGGAAACCUGAAAGGCCUGACCCGUCUUCAUCUGGCGUCAAACAUGCUAGUAGGAGAAAUACCAACAGAGAUUGCAAAUCUUAGAAACUUGACCAAGUUAUAUCUUAGCUUCAAUCGCCUGUCAGGUCCUGUUCAUGCCUUUCUUGGUGGCCUCCAAAAAUUACAGAUUCUGUAUCUAGGGCCGAACCGUUUCUCAGGGCCGAUUCCACCUUCCCUAGGAAACCUCUCAUCUCUACUAGUUCUAGAUGUCCAAAUAAAUGGCCUAACUGGUAGCAUCCCUGAAUCGUUAGGAAAUCUGAAUCUGCUCAACGUCCUUUCUCUCACAUCUAAUAGUCUUACAGGCUCAAUCCCUCAUACUCUUGGAAAACUCAGUUCUCUUGUUGAGUUUUAUCUCAACGGGAAUCAACUCGAGGGUUCUAUACCACCUUCUGUCUAUAAUUUCUCAUCCCUCCAAAUUUUUAGUGUCCAAUACAACAACCUGAGUGGACCCAUUUCAUAUCACUUGGGUAAUAAGUUUCCACAACUCCAGAACCUUAGCAUAGACAAUAAUAGGUUUCAUGGGUCCAUCCCAGAGUCUUUGUGCAAUGCUUCAAUGCUUGAAAUAGUACAACUGAGCGAGAACUUCUUUUCCGGAGUAAUACCAAAAUGUCUUGGAGCUACCAUGAAGAGCUUAUCGGCACUGCUUCUCUCAUAUAACCAGUUAGAGGCAAGGAAUGAUGCUGAUUGGGAUUUCAUUUCUAGCUUGACAAACAGUAGUAUGCUACAGUACCUAGCUCUUGGCCAUAACAAACUACAAGGGGUGCUACCAAAUUCAAUGGCAAACCUUUCCACAAACUUGAGAUAUUUCAGCGUGUCAGGCAACAUGCUACGGGGAAAUAUACCUGAAGGAAUUGGAAAUCUUGUCAACUUGCAACACUUGCAGGUGGAUGGUAAUUUCCUAGAUGGAAAAAUUCCUGAAUCGAUUGGCAAUCUUAGGAUCCUGGUUGAAUUAUACUUGUCAAACAAUGGUUUAUCUGGACCAAUUCCACCAAUGCUUGGAAAUCUCACAGCAUUAAUUAUACUUGACCUCAGCCAAAAUGUGCUUACUGGGCCCAUACCAUCCAGCCUUGGAAGCUGCCCUCUGGAGACAUUGAGCCUAGCAUUCAAUCAGCUUAUAGGUUCAAUACCAAAAGAGAUUUUCCUCAUAUCGGCACUAUCUGUUUCCAUGGAGCUGCAAGGGAACAUGUUAACUGGGACAUUUCCUCAAGAAGUUAGUAAUCUAGUGAAUCUUGGAUAUCUGAAUGUGUCUGACAACAGGAUAUCUGGCUUAAUUCCUGCCUCUCUAGCUCAGUGCAGAAGUUUGCAGUAUCUCAGUAUAGAAGGUAACCUAUUUCAGGGCCCAAUUCCAGCAUCAAUGUCACAGAUGAAAGGCCUUCUGGUUCUUGAUGUUUCAAGAAACAACUUGUCCGGGGACAUCCCAGUAUUCCUUGGGGACAUGCAGGGGCUCGCUAUCCUGAACAUAUCAUUCAACAAUUUUGAGGGUGAAGUUCCAAAACGUGAAUUAUUUCUGAAUGCAAGUGCAGCUCUGAUUGAAGGGAACUAUGGAUUAUGUGGAGGUAUCCCCCAAUUCAACUUGCAUCCCUGCUCAAAUCAUACAUCCGAGAAGUGGUCUCACAAGCUUGUCGUGUUGAUCUCAGUAGGAAGCGCAGUUCUUUGCAUUAUGUUAGUACUAUUUGCACUAUUUGCACACCGGAAAUUGAGAAGCAAGUUUACAAUGACAAGACGGGUUCCAUCACUCCAUAGCGGACAGCAUAUAAGGGUUACCUAUGUUGAAUUAGUGAGAGCAACAAGUGGUUUUGCUUCUGAGAACCUCAUAGGCACAGGAAGCUUCGGCUCUGUGUACAAAGGAAGAAUGAUGAAUGGAAAUCAGGAAGUGAUUGUCGCUGUGAAGGUGCUCAACCUCGAGCAGCGAGGGGCAUCUCAAAGCUUUGUUGCGGAAUGUGAGACUUUAAGAUGCAUCAGACAUCGAAACCUUGUGAAGAUAUUGACCGUCUGCUCGAGUAUUGAUUCCAGGGGUCUAGACUUCAAAGCUCUCGUAUUUGAGUUCAUGCCGAAUGGAGAUCUUGAUCAAUGGCAACACAGCCGUCUCCUGGAAGAUGGGAGCCAUGGCGUGCUCAGUCUUACCCAAAGGAUAGACAUUGCCAUUGAUGUCGCUUCAGCACUCGAAUACCUUCACCACAAUAAGCCAGUGCCAAUAGUUCAUUGUGAUCUUAAGCCAAGCAAUAUUCUCCUCGAUAAUGACAUGGUUUCCCAUGUGGGUGAUUUUGGACUCGCAAGGUUCUUGCAGCAGGAUGAUACUAGCCUCCCAGAAAUAUCAAGUGGUUGGGCUACAAGAAGGGGAACAAUUGGAUAUGCUGCCCCAGGUUUGCCAUUAAUCACCGAUGUUCAUCUUUGAUGUAUCAAUUUUCGAAACUGAUUCACUUGCAUUUCUUUUCCAGAGUACGGCCAAGCAAAUGAAGUCUCGGUCUAUGGUGAUACCUAUAGCUACGGAAUACUGCUGUUAGAGUUGUUCACUGGCAAAAGGCCAACUGAUGGUGAGUUUCUGCAAGAUCUAAACCUACAUAGUUACGUUGAGAUAGCACUCAGAGACAAAGCAGCCAACCUGGUCGAUCUGUGCUUACUAUCUUCACUGGAGGAAGGGACAACCAUGAGGGCUGCAUGCAUCACUUCAAUUCUGCACAUUGGGAUAUUAUGUUCAAAGGAACAGCCAACUGAUCGCAUGCAGAUUGGGGAUGCUAUGAGAGAGCUACUGGCGAUCAGAGACAAGUAUCACACACACCUAUUGAGUGAAGGUGGGUCCAUCUAACUUGAUGGCCCUCGCUUCAUUGUGAUUACUAUUCAUCAUAGUACAGCAAAACAGAAGGUGGUGCAAGCUUUGUUGCUGCAAUUUACUAGCCAACUAAUAUGCCUAUCUUAUGAAAGGAAUUUCAACAUGAUAUGGUAAUGGUUUGUGAACAAUGGGAGCAGCACAUUGCAAUGUACCUUAGUCAUCGGGUCACCAAAAUUCUAGUUAGAAGGCUCUUCUUUAUGUUAAUAUAUUCUCUUUAUAGAAAAGACCACAUCAUGUAUUUUCUCUCCGUUCCUAUCUUGAGGCAAAUUUGCUGUAGUUACUGGAGAAGUAAGAAUAUUGUGUUAUCAUUAAAAGGAGACUUGAAAUUUGUUGUAGAAUUUUGAUACUGCACCUGGAUUUUAAGUAUCAGAAAUUCUACUUUCAGAACGCCCAAUGUGUUGUAUCACUAGGCAGACGCAACUACCUCGCCAGAUCACACACACUUCACUUAUAGAUCGACAAAAGAAAUUAUAUACCGACAACACUUGUAAUGAUCAUCAGCUAAUUGGAGAUUUAUGCAUGAGUUUACACGCACAUCGUGCACUACGUGCUCGAGUCGAUGAGGAGACUGGUGCAGACUAUGUGUGCUGUAUUCUGCGAUUCGGUCAACUCUUGACUAGCUUUUCUUCUAUUCUCUAAAAUGGUUGUAGGGCAAACAUCGCAUAGUUUAGAUGGUCAGAUUUUUUUUUGUGUGGAAUCAACCCAUCCGGGUUCAAGUCCUGACUUGACACAGCUUUCUCACAUAUCUUCCUGGACUUAUGUGAGCCUUUUCGACGCUAUUCUUUUAGUGGUAUGACGUACCCGUCGACUACGAGGCACUGUAUUUCUCAAAAAAAAAAGGUUACAGGUCCCAUCUGAAGGACCUAUAUGUGAUCUUUUCUGGUCUGAUCUGGAUGACCGAUGCGGGUGGAGAAUUUCACCAAGAGGAGCAGGGUACACAUUUGGACAAGAUAUCGCGAAACAAUUUAACCAUGGGAAAGUUGUAGCUGUGCAGCCAUAUAGACCCAUUUUUGCAUCAAGAUUCGUGCAUAAAAACUUCUCCUUUUUGUUCCUCCCAAAUAAGUAUAGAUUUGAAAUUGGAACUUCGCAAGUCAACAUCACACAAGUGCUAUGUUGUGCAGAAUUGUUUUCGGAAUUUUUGGCGAAACAUAAAUGUAUAAAAUGAUAAAACUUAUUCAAAAUUUAUAACAAAUUUCGGUUGCAUCAAAAAAAUCAAAAACAUCUUAUUCACAGAGUGGCACUUGUAUGGCGUUGACCUGCAAAGUUUCUUGAUUAAAUAUUCUCUUGUUUGGAAGAAACAAAAAAGAGAAAUUUCUAUGUGAAGACAACACAGAUCUUGAUGCAAAGUUGGAUGGCCUAGAUAGAAGGUGUAGUUACAUGGUAGAUUAGAAAAUUCACACUCUUUAACCAUACAAAUGGACUCAACAUUAUUUCAAAAUUUUCAAGAAAGCAUGAAGCAUAAGCGAAGCGAUAGGCUCUUGCUCGGCACUUAGCACACUUACGCAUUAUGUGCAAAUCACGGCCUGUCUUUAGAAAGUCCACCUUAAGGAAGAAAACAUGGGAAAUCUAGAAGGAAAAUAGAGCCCGCCUUGAAAAAUCCCAUCGCGGCCCAACUAAGUCCUAGAGUUUUGUUUGCAGUUGUUGAUUUCUCGGUGGAAAAGGCCAAUUUAUCACUGGAGACGACCAAUUUCUCACCGGAGUACCUCAUUGGCCACCUAAUGCUUCGCCUAGCCCAAAGCGAGGCGUUUCGCCAUCGCUCAGCGCUAAAGCGUACUUAAAAACGCUUUCUUGAACAUUGUUAUUUCAAGGCCUAUCAAUUUGUGAUGAAAGGGUAAUUGGGCACAUGAUGGUUUCCAGUGUGUUAGAUUUCAGUCGUCCUAAUCAUUUUCCAUUCAUAGUUCUGUUCGCCAAGUUGUUUUCGCAUUUUAAAAUUAAGGGAAAAGAUAAAUUUAUCAAAUUCUCUAUGGCUCCUAUUCAUCAGAUAAAAACUCAUAUCUAUUAUUAUAUUAUAAAAACAAAAGGAAAAUGAGCCACCACACUUCUUCCACAUAGGCUACAAUAUCUAAUCCUUUGAUUAUAAAUUUUAACGGUCUAUAUUUAAAAGUUGGCGGUUUUCUCGUCUCGCUCCAUUCCGAUCGAGCGAUUGCCAUUUGGACGGAUUGCGAAGCCUUCGGUCGAACCCCAAAAAACAGAACGUUUGUAAGUUAGUUUUUCCGAACUGCAUAAUCUAAACAAUCGGAUAACUACACCAAAUCCAGGAUGAUGAUUGUAUCAUAGACAAAUGGGUAACUAUAUUGGUGUUAUGGUUAUAAUCGUAAAUAGGAUAGAUAAGUAACCACGUUGAUGCCAUGAUGGUAUUUGUAACUUGGGCCACUCGGUAACUAAUUCCAUGUCAUGAUGAUAGUUUAAUCUAGACAACUCGGCAACCAUAUUGAUAUGAUGGUGGUAACUGUGAAUCUAAGCUGGACAACAAGUUAAGUACAAGAAUGCCAUGGCGAUAACUAAUUCCUAAACGUUCUUGGUUAAGACGUUAAGUACAUCAAUACCAUGGCGAUAACUAAUCCCUACUUCGUUUCGGUUGCUUGAUUGAACACUGUUGUGCCUAACUCGCUGCAUCACGCAAGCAUGCCAUUUCAACAAACAUCUUACGGACAACAUGCGACUAGAGUGUGAGAUGCGAACAAAAUGCAUGUUAUUGCCUCAAAUUCUCCAUGUGCCAGAGAUAAACGCAAGCAGCACCAGAAUCUGCCUGAACUCCCAACAAAAUGACAACGAAGAGAAAAUUCACACAAAAUUAAAUGGCACCUACCUGCCGGUUGUCCUUCCAGUAGCGGUCCUUGGCUGCGCUGGGAAUCCUCCAGGAGCUCCUGCGCGACACUUUCGGCUUCUAGAAUAGCGAAGCGGCAGACCAUGACAAAGGACGAUGCAUCGCUGCCGGCUGCCACUCCUGCCCACCCGGCCACCCUCCCUCGGCUCCAAUCGCUGCUUCUAAUGCCGUCCGCCAUGGCCCGAUAUGGAGACACCACGGCCGCCGCGCCAUGGACCAGCUCCGCCUCCAUCCCCUUCUUUUUCCCUCCCCCGUGUGAGACCUUGGCGCAAGAGGCUCUCGACGGAGUAACGCCGGCCGGAUACCGGUCCCAGGUCCAUGUGGUGCUGCGAGCAGAAUCGCGACAAGGGGAGGCGCGGCUACGGAUCCCUCGCGCGGGGGAGAGAGCCAGCGAGAUAUGGAGGAGUAAAUUACAAAAAAAAAAAACAAAAAAAAAACACCGUAUUUGUGAACCUUAAAUAAAAUAACCAUGUUAUUGCUUUUUUAUGGGAAAAAUAUUAUAUUCAUCAAAUAACAGUGAGAUCAUUUACAAUCAAAGAUGAAAUAAAAUCAGGGGCGGACAUGUCCUAGAAUGACAGAGAUUCAGAGGCAUAACAUUGUUUUGCCAGACAGUCAGCCACAUGAUUUUAUUUCAUCUUUGAUUAGGGUUAAAGGUCAAGGUGGCAUCAUGGGCGGCUGACUAAAACCAGUCAAAAUUGGUUGGGUAGUGCUAGCCGUUGGCGCGCCGGUCCAAAUUUGGGUCGGUCGGCCCCGAGCCACCCGAUACAGCUGUAAGAGAUCGUCAGAUCUGUUCCCAGUAGUUGUGACGCCCCCGAUUCAAUCGUACACUAAUCAUACAUGCAAACGUGUAUGAUCAAGAUCAGGGACUCACGAGAAGAUAUCACAACACAACUCUACAAAUAAAAUAAAUCAUACAAGCAUCAUAUUACAAGCCAGAGGCCUCGAAGGCUCGAAUACAGAAGCUCGAUCAUAGACGAGUCAGCGAAAGCAACAAUGUCUGAGUACAGACACAAGUUAAACAAGUUUGCCUUAAGAAGGCUAACAUAAACUAGGAUACAGAUCGAAAGAGGCGCAUGCCUCCUGCCUGGGAUCCUUCUAAACUACUCCUGGUCACCGUCAGCGGGCUGCACGUAGUAGUAGGCACCUCCCGAGUAGUAGUAGUAGUCGUCAUCAACGGUGGCGUCUGGCUCCUGGACUCCAGCAUCUGGUUGUGACAACCAGAAAGAAAGGAAAGGGGGGAAAAGGGGAAGAAAGCAACCGUGAGUACUCAUCCAAAGUACUCGCAAGCAAGGAGCUACACUACAUAUGCAUGGGUAUCAAAUGGAAUAAGGGUAUCAUAUGUGGACUGAACUGCAGAAUGCCAGAAUAAGAGGGGGAUAACUAAUCCUGUCGAAGACUACGCUUCUGGCCACCUCCAUCUUGCAGCAUGUAGGAGAGAGUAGAUGGUAAGUUCACCAAGUAGCAACAAGUAGCAUCGUAUAGCAUAAUCCUAACCGAUGAUCCUCAGGCCCACCACUACCUGGAUGGAGCCACCUGCCCCUUCAGCCCCCAUCUCCGAACAUUAUCAUAAGUAAUGUAACAGUAUAAGUAUAUAUCAUAUGCCCGUGAUCACCUCCCGAGGUGAUCACGGCCCAGUAGUAUAGCAUGGCAGACGGACAAGAGUGUAGGGCCACUGAUGGAACACUAGCAUCCUAUACUAAGCAUUUAGGAUUGCAGGUAAAGGUAACAAAUAGUAGUAGCAAGGACAGGCUAUGCAUCAGGAUAGGAUAACGAAAAGCAGUAAUAUGCUACACUACUCUAAUGCAAGAAGUAGAGAGAAGAAUAGGUGGUAUCUGGUGAUCAAAGAGGGGGCUUUCCUGGUCGCUCUGGCAAGAGAGAGGGGUCGUCAACACCGUAGUCGUACUGGGUAGCAGCGGCGUCGGUCUCGGUGUCUACCGGAGAGAAGAGGGGGAAGAAAUAAUAAAUACGAAGCAAACAAAGCAUCACAAAACAUAACGAGGUAAUACACGGUGCCAGGGGCGAUCUAACGUAGGGAUAGGUGAUACCGGUGAAGGGGGGGAAACAUCCGGGAAAAUAUCCCCGGUGUUUCGCGUUUUCGCACAAAUGAAUUAGAGGAGAAAAGUUGCGUGUUCGCUAUGCUAGGGAUGCGUGGUGGACGAACGGGCCGCAUAUUCAGAUUUGUCUCGUUUUUCUGAGCAACUUUCAUGUAUAAAACUUUUUCAUCCGAGUUACAGAUUAUUUUCUAAGAUUUUUCAAAGAUUUAAACAAUUUUUUGAAAUAUAUUAAUUCGAAUUAAGAAAAAAGUAAAUAGUUUUGUCACCUAAAGCUACGCUAGCUAGAGCGUAUUACAGGUGGGGCCAGGGGGUUAGUCAGCAGUUGACCAGUCAAGGUUGACUAAUCAACAGGGUCAUAGCGGGGCCCAAGUGUCAUAGGGUCAUUUGCAUAGCAGAUUAGUUAAUUAGUCUAAAUAGUGGAGGGGCCCCUAAGUCAUAUUCUACAUAGCAUCUAGACUUAGUACCAAUACCUGUUUUGGGUUAGUUAUUAAAUAAGACUAAUCCUAAUCUAUGGCCGGCCAUUUAGUAGUGGCCCAUCCGGCCAGAAACACAAAGCACGCACACACAACAAGCAAUCGGCCAUGGCCAGUGGUGGCUGUAUACACACACACACACAAUACUAGUUGUAAGAGAAGAUGGCAUUUUGUGAUUUUUUAGGAUUUAAUCCAUGCAUCGAAAAGAUUUAGUCCAGUGGGAUAAAAUGGAGUUUGUCAAGUAUACUUUCUACUUAUAUUAUUUUUACCCAUUUUAACUGCUGUUUAGUCGUUGUUUAGAGGCUGUACGGAGGGUCAGACAAUGUCAAAUUAGAAAAGCUAGCACUAGCUACAGUAACUGAAUGUUACUGUAGCCGCGUAGCAUAGCAGCAGGCACCUGCGGGAGCAGGAAAGCAGCAGCGAAGCGAGCGGCGUGCACGGGGCCGCGCAUGUCGGGCGCAGGGCGGGACGGACGCGGGGCGUGGGUGUGCGCCGGAGACGAGCUGCGGCGCCUGCAAAGGACAGCCAAGGCAGGGCGCGGGGAGCGGGGCUGCACGGCAAGGCCGGUCAGGGCCAGACGCAGCGGUGGGCAGCAGAGCAUCGCCCAGCGGCAGCGGCAAGUAGUACAGCAGGCGGAGCUGCAGCGAGCAGCACGGGCGCCUGGUGCGUGCGGCGGGCGGGCGCAGGAGCUCAGGCGAGCAGCAAGCCGCGGCGUGAGCAGCAAUGGAGGCCAGGGGCGUUGGGCGCGGGCGGCACGGUCGCGGCGACUACGGGCACGAUCAAGGGCAGGGCUGGUGCGUGCGGGCGUGGUGACGCGCGUGUGGCGGGUCGGCGAGAGCCGUAUGGGGCGGCGUUGGAGCAGUAGCAGGCGAAGUAGCACUAGACCACGGCGAGGCUGGCGCGCGUGCAUAGAAGCAGUCACAGCACGCACGCACGUACGCGUACGCGGCAGCUCGGACGAGCUCGGGGACGGCGGCCUACGGCGCAAGAACGGGAGGGGAGAGGAUGUGCUCACCGAGCAGGCACAAGGAGGCCCGUCGAGUGGCUUAGGAGCAGCAGAGGUGGCCGGUGUUGGCGACGGCGGCGGCGACCGAGACGGAUGGAGGUUGAGGACGGGGAAGCAGCGGGCGUCCCGGUGGCUUCCGGCUCGAUCUCGACCAUGUAGUCGAAGUAGGCGACGAAGACGGUGCCCCUGGCGCGGUCUCUGGCAGCGAGGAGGCCAUCGGUGACGGCUGCCGAUGACGCGUCCAUGGCGGAGAUCAGGAAGGAGGGGGGUCUAAGGAGGGAGGCAGGGCGCAGUAGAGAGGGAGAAGGGAGCGAGCGAGUGGGGGGGAUAGGAUUGAGGAGUCGGGGCGUGGCGCCCUUAUCUCCUCGUCGGCGUGGCCGGCGAGGUGGUCGGGCGGGAGCACGUCCCUGUUGCGGUUUGAGACCGAGGAACAGGAGAGGGGCAACCGGUGCGGGGGGGAAUUGGGAUGGAUGGGUAGGAGUGGGCCGAGGCCCGGGGAGCCAGGGGUUGUCUUAUAUUUAUCUUUGUUUUCUUUUUAUUUAAUUUUUUUGUUUCUGUUUUCUUUUUAUUUACACAUUAAUUUUAGUUUAGUAAAAUAUGACAAUAGCCCCUAAAGCAAUGUUUCAGAAUAAACGACUGCCAUGAAAAGUUUUUACCCUGAAUUAAAAUAGUUUAGCAAUUUAUAAAAUACCAAAGGCAUUUAUAUAAUUGAUUUUUCUACUGUUUAAAUCACUUUAGAGUAUUUGAACAUUUAAAAAAAAGUGUAGUUCCUCCGCCAUAAUUACCUAUGCAUUAUUUGGCUCACUCUGAAUAUUUUAAUUUUAAUAUUUGAAAACUUUUAUUGUUUGCCUUUAAUUAAAAUUUGAAUUUGAAUCGUUUCGAACUAACAUGAGUUUAUUAACAGAAAUCAAGGUGACGUGGCACCAUUAGCAAGGGUUUACUGUAGCUUGAUUAUCCGGGCGUUACAGUAGUCUUUUUCUUCCUUCCUCGAUCUCUUUCUUCGUUUCCCACUCGUCGGCGCACCAGAGCCACACGAACAACACGCACGAGAGAAACCCCCCCCCUGACCCCCCCAAUGCCGAUGACCUCGCCGACUCGCCAUCCUCGCCCCCGGAAAGCCGCAGUUCCAGGAGCCCACCCAUGGUUGCAGCAAACAUCCUGCGCCGGUGGAAGCUUCCAUGGUUGCGCGUUGCAGCAAAAAAAGUGUGCGCCAUCGUCGCUUGGUUGCAGCAAAAACAAGUCGUGCAUCAUCACCCUCCCCCUCGCCCUCGCCACACUUCAUUGUCGUGGUUGUAGCAAAUCUGAGUUCUGGUUGUAGCAAAAAAUGCAUCACCGUCGCAGUCGGCCAAAUUUCGUUAUCGCUCCCGCUAUUGUCACCGCAUAAAACACUUCCAUGAUGCAGCAAAAGUGGAUGUUGGUUCCAGCCUUCGGCUUUGCUGAUUGUAGCAAUUUCUGAUGCUGGUUGAACAGGACGCAUGACGCCAGUUGUAGCAAAAAAGUGCGACGACCAUGCGAUGUAGCAAAACAGGGCACCGGUUGUAGUCGGAUGGGGCGCCGGUUGUAGCAAUUCACGACACCCGUUGUAGCAUGUAGAAAAAAUAUGAUGGUUCGUGCGAUGUAACAAAAUGCAACACCGGUUGUAGCUGAGUGGGGUGCCGGUUUGUAGCAAAAGGUGACACCAGUUGUAGCAUGUAACAAAAAACGUGACGUCUGCAGUGUUGCUCGGGAUAGAGCCACCAUCCUCGCAGCCCGCGGUCGCCAUGGUCGCGCGUCCAUGAUGGCAGCUCUCAUGGGCACCCGUUGCAGCAGUCCACGAUGCAGUCCCAGCUUCCGCCGAGGCCGACCAAUGAGGGCGGCUAACGGCCGGCGGGGAGGGGGGGGGGAGGGGGGCGAAUGGCGAUGACGACUGAUAAAGGUGGGACCGACGAGAUGAAAGAGAGAGAAAGGGAGCAGCGUAGACCGUUUGGUGGGCCCGUUAGCCAUGCGUCCCAUCACCCGAGAGGGCUGGGCAUACGAUAAGAGGAGAUCACACGGGUCGGCCGGUGCCCAGCCCCAAACCUUUUCCCUUUUUGAAAGUUUGAUGCUGUAAAGUAGAAGGUUUUGGAGUUUGAUGUCGUACCUUAGACUUUAGUGGUAAUUCAGGGUUGCAAUAUAAAAUCUCUCUUUAAUUUUUAUUGUAUUUGAGAUGUUUUGUACGUAGUUCUGGCGAAUUUCUAUAAUAUUCCUAGAUCUGAAUAUUUUUCCGGAAAAAAGAACAUACACGUACUUCACAAGAAAAAAAGGAAGAGUCUAGUGCGCGAGACACGCUUUCGGUACAUAGGUGUUCACACCAUCUCACGACAGCGACCCAAAGAAACACGUUAAGAGCCGAACCCUUGUGCUCUCCAAACGCGUACCAGUUCAUCGUCAGCAUCCACCAGCCAUAAAUAAUCUGGUGCGUUCUUCCAGUCAAGCUUUUUUCCCCUUCGGCGAUUCCGCGGCCGCUCGCGGCUUCUCCGAUCUCCGCCCCCUUUAAAUCCACCCCUCCGGUCGCCAUGGUUCCUGACUUGUCUCCUAUCCGUCGCAGGUAGCACAGCAGCACCAGCACAGGCGAUGGCGGAGUUCUCGUGGCUCACGGCGCUAGGGUUCGCCUUCCUGACCUUCAACUCCGGCAUGGCCGUGUACCGCUCCAACGGCGACGCGGGGUCCGUCGUCUUCGUCGCCGUCUCCUACCUCGACCUCGUCGCCCUCUUCGCCUGCCUGCGCCUCUACGAGCGCCUCGACCGCCACUCCCCGCGCCGGGAGCGGCUCAAGGCCGCCGUCUGGGCGCUCACCACGCUGCUCACCGUCAUGUUCACCUACAAGGUCGCCGAGGUCAUGCCGCUCGCCGUCAAGCUCCUCGUCUGGGCGAUGGCCGCCGCCACCACCUGCGGCGGCUUCUACGUCUUCUUCGUGCACGACGACAAGCCGUACCAGCAGCUGCAGGACGCGUCGGCGGCCGCCGAGCGCGGGGACGUCGCCAACUAGUGGCUAUAUUAGACGGCGGCUGGGCGCUGGCCGCCGCGAGGUACGUGCUUCGGUGCUAACAGCGGCGUCGGGCGUUAGAUCUAGGGCCAAACCACUAGGUUGUUAUUGUGUCUUGGCUGUUUCGUUUCCCUUUUUUUGCCGAUUUGCUGUCACUUGGUCUGCUUUGGCUUGCCGGCGUGCUCGGAUUAGCAGAUCUGGAAUUUGGCCAUCGGCAGAGGAGAUCUGUUCAGUUUGAUGACGUGCUUGUUGAUCAAAUUAAUAAUUGUGUGCUCUGUUGAGAAGUGAGUUUGUGUUAAUUAUGAUUCCCGAUUGGGCCAUCAAAUUGGGCGUGUGCCCGCCACGCGGCCCACAAGGAGGAAGAAACUGCGACAGCUUGAGGUAAGUUGAGUGGAUUGCAAUUGUGUAAGGGCUCUAUUUGCAUCAGGAGGAGGGUAGGGGAACGGAUGCUGAGGGAGUAGACAAGAAACCAGAGAAAUCCUUAGUGUGCAAAAGUGGAUGAUCCCUUGGUACAGAGGUGGUGUAGAAACUGCAAAUAGUUUCCUUGAAUUUGUGUGAAAAUAGUGAAUUGUCGUGACUAGCCAAAGUUGAGAUGAUAUGAAGACAGACGAACUGCAGGACAACAUAUGAGCGAAACAAGCAGAGGCAUAAGUGAAGAUUGCAGAUACAAUGGAAAUUCAUCUGCACAAUAAGACAACAAGCUAGAAAUGUUGUACUUGUUAAGUUGUCUCAUCUGAUGCACCCAUCAGUGGUUUGCAGUAUGCUGACGGGAACUAUAGAUUGAACAUAUGGCAACUGGAAAUUUGAUAAACAAAUGGAAAAAUAUUCAACUGUAUUUGAGGUAUGAGACCAAGAGUCGAAAUCAUUUAACCAUUGGUGGCCUCAUCAGCUUGCAAUUGUUUCUGCACUCUCUUAAAGAUUUCAGCUGAUUUAUGUCCCUGCUUGUAAAGAGCGGCUGGGUUACUGUUAACCACCUGGAUGAAGAUCUUUUCAUGGAUCAUUCAAGAAACUUGGCGAAGUGCAGAGAUCCUUCAUACCUUCCUCUUGUCAAGAAAAUACAACUAAGACAAUAAAUGGACAAUUGUUCAACUGAAUUUGAGAUAUUGAGAUCAGGGGUCAAAAUCAUUCAACCAUUGGUGGCCUCAUCAGUGUGCAAUUGUUUUUGUACUCUCUUAAAGAUUUCAGCUGAUUUAUGUCCCUGCUUGUGAAGAGCAGCUGGUUUACUCUGAACUUGAUGCAAAAGUAUGGAUGCUGGGAAUCAUGAAGGAGAUUGGAGAGCCAGAACUUGAUGCAAAAGUAUUGGAUGCUGGGAAUCAUGGAUUCAAGAAAAUUUGCAAAGUGCAGAGAUCCUUCAUAUACCUUCAACAGAAUAUGACUAGACAAGGUUGCGUGCAGAGACUGGAGAGCCAGAAUAAUAAUGAGUAGGGAAGUUGUUCAAGUCAGAAGAACAAUGUGGAGAGAACUAGUUCAUGUUUGCUGUUUCGGUUUACCAGCAUACAGAUGAACUGUUCGUAAUGAAAAUAUAACCACAGACUAAGACAGCUCAUUGAUAACUAUGUGUAGUGGGAGCUAGGAAAUGGCCAUUGGAAUAUAUUAUCAGCAGUAAUGGAUGACACGUACAAGGGAAUAAAUACAAGGAAAUUACAAAGCUGCGGAUGUUCAAAGAGAAUGAAAUAUACUACAGCUAUGACGAUGCUGAUGCCAAUGCCAAUUCCGAUGCUAAUUCUUUGUCACAUUAUCCGGCAAGCCGACAGCAAGGUGAGUUUCAAGGGAAGAGAAAAGGCCAAGAUAUACUAACCCCUAGUUGCCCAAAAUCUAAUUUGCCGUCGCUGUUGCCUGACGUAUGUGCUGCGCUGUAGCAAGUUCCCAGCCUGCCCUAUUACGCGUUUAAGUUGAAUAAAUUCCACUAUCUGCGAGCUAUAAGUUAUAACGUUUCUAUGAACUGUAUUAUGUCUAUCUAUGAUUAUAUUGUAUGUCGUUCAUGUCGGUCGAGCUCUGACUAGUUCUCGGAAGCGUUCUUGAUGGUCAGGUUAUGUAUUGCACACUACUGGUGCCAACUCUACUAUCAUUUGCUCCUCGUUGUAAUGCUCAUGGUCUGUAUUCAGUACGUUCUUCUGUAUAAUGCUUGCUUCUUUGCAGUCCUAGUAAUAAUGCAUUAUCCUGGAAAUGCUUGCUAUCCCGUUUAUCUAUUUCUCGUCAACUCUCUUUUGUGUGGCAUCAGACUUAUAGCCGCCAGCUACGUGCAUAACCUGUCAACAAAGACAGCAGCAGCAACAACGACCAGUUCAUCAGGCUUCGUGCAAUCCAAUUCUGAAAGGUAACAGCCUUAAAGUUUAUAAGUUUUCUUUCUGCAAGACGCAGAGGAUCGAUGAAGCUGCCAAGCAACACCUUCCUUGCAGGGUUGUGCUAGUAGAAUUUGGCAACCUCACACCGUACCACAUAAAUUUAACAGUUCCCUGUCACGUUCUUUCCAAUCUUGUGACUUCACGAAAUGACCAACAAUAAAUUGUAUUUUUUUUAACCUAACAAUGAAUUGUAUUUUUGAAACAAUGACCAACAAUAACUGGACAGUUACCGCCACCAUCAACUUGUUGGUUUGUCCAUGACUUUCUAAUUUGGACGCUAUUGACAAAGUAGCCCUUGCUUUGCUGCAAAUCAAAAUAACUUAGGGCAUCUCCAAGUCUGAAACCCAAAAUGGACACCCUAUUUGCCCCCGGACUGGACCACUUCGCAGAUAUGGAUGUGAGAGUUGGCCAUCCAACCGCAUCCCCUAAAUGUGUUGGACACACUGUUUGCCAGCGGACUGGACAUGGAUGUGAGAGUCGGUCAUCCAACUACAUCCCCUAAACAUCCGCCUAAAUCUAACCAAUUUGGAUUUCAAAUGCAUAGCGCCCGGUCGCAACCAAAAAAAGGGACGAUGCUGGGGUUGGUUGGACCCCCCCUCCUCGCGGCUCCCCCUCCCUAGGGUUCCGCCCGCGCCGCCGCCGGCUUCCCCNNNNNNNNNNNNNNNNNNNNNNNNNNNNNNNNNNNNNNNNNNNNNNNNNNNNNNNNNNNNNNNNNNNNNNNNNNNNNNNNNNNNNNNNNNNNNNNNNNNNNNNNNNNNNNNNNNNNNNNNNNNNNNNNNNNNNNNNNNNNNNNNNNNNNNNNNNNNNNNNNNNNNNNNNNNNNNNNNNNNNNNNNNNNNNNNNNNNNNNNNNNNNNNNNNNNNNNNNNNNNNNNNNNNNNNNNNNNNNNNNNNNNNNNNNNNNNNNNNNNNNNNNNNNNNNNNNNNNNNNNNNNNNNNNNNNNNNNNNNNNNNNNNNNNNNNNNNNNNNNNNNNNNNNNNNNNNNNNNNNNNNNNNNNNNNNNNNNNNNNNNNNNNNNNNNNNNNNNNNNNNNNNNNNNNNNCCUCCCCGCCCUCCCCAACGCUUUCCCUCCCCUUCUCCCCCUCCCGCUGUCGCCGUCCUGGACCACCGGGCCUUGCUCGGGUGGUGCCGGCGGCGGCGGCCCCGUCCUUUCCCCCCGCGUAGUGCCACGGCUCGGGUGGUUGGCGGCUGGCGGCGGCGUGCUUCGGCGGCGGCGCAACUCCUUGGGUAGCGCGGUGCCAGGUGGUGAGGUGGUGGCGGCGUUGCUGCUUGGCGGCGGGGCGUUGCAGUGGCUGGUGGUGAUGCCCUCCCGGCCCAGAUCUGGACCUUUUUGGGCCCCAUCUGGGUCUGGGCGGGCUUGGCCGGAACUCCUCAGCGGCGUCUCCGGUGGACGGCGGGGCGACUCGUGUGGGGGGUAGCGGCGACGGCGGCUCGUAUACUGCAGCGCGGCGACGAGGGCUUCACGAGCCCGUCUCGGGCUUGGCCGGGCCUAUCUGGGCCUUCGGCGCGGGGGCGGAAAAAUGGUUUCACGGGGGAGCUGGAGCCGGCACGCGCCGGUCGUGGCCAUGGGCCACUUCUCCACCUUCCCUUUCCCCCGGUCGAUUUGGUCGCGGUUGCCUGGUUUGCCCUUGGUUUGCCCCUGUUGCUACGUCCGGGCGGUGGAGGUUGUCCCCUCCUGCGUGGCCGCUGUUGCUGCCGCCCCUCGUUCUCGGUUGCCUUCUCUGUUCUCGCCGGUCUCGCUUCAUUUGCCACGGUGAAACGACGAUGGGAACUGCACAACCGUGGUGGCGCAUGUUGGUGGGCGGCGUGUUUGGUGGCGCACGAUGGAUCGUCUGGAGUCGUGGGUGGUUGGUGGUCCGGAGAAAUCCGUGUCGGCUUGUCCGGCACCGACGCGGUGACGUCUGUGGGCGCCGCCGUGCCUUCCUGAAGGGCGUCGGGCUUGCCCCUUCCCCCGCAAUCCUCUACAUACCGGGGGGAAACCCUAGGACUUGUCCGGACAACAGCGUCGUCGGCGUCGCGGUUCUUCUUGAAGGUGUUACUUGGUAUGCGGCGGUCCGGAGUGCUCGGAGUGUGGUGGAGUUCUCCGGUGGGCGCAGUGGUUGUGGGUCUUCAUCGUUUUCGUUGAUUCGUCGUUGUUCGCAUUUGUUUCUUUUUUGUUUUCUCUUUCAUUUUUUUUUGGGCGUGACUGUGGUGCUUCUGCCCCAGCACCUAUCGUUGGCUGUAUCGGAGUUGGUUGCUUUGUAAUACAAAGCGGGGGGAAACCCUUUUUCAUAAAAAGGGACGAUGCUUAUAGUUUUUACAUGUCCAAUCACAAAAGUAUCUCAGUCCGGCAGUUGGUGCAAAAAAAAGAAGGAUUUUUUUGCCCUGCUAGACCGGUUGUCAGAUCCUCCAUGCUCACUGUGCCAUCUCCUCGACAUCCGCCUCCUUCUCGGCUGCCUCCUUCUCUGCCGUCUCCAGCCUUAAAGCGUCUCAACAUCCUGAAGCAGACGGUUUGCACAUUCAUUGUUGCAUCAUCAUCCAAUGCCUUCAUCUUCAAGGUGAACAUUUUUUAAUCCUUCGAAGCGGCAGUGAUCUUAACAUUCUUCUCUUCAAGCUUGCUCUUCUUCUCUUCGAGUUUGAUCUUCUUAUCGACCACCGCCAUUAAGAUGUCAAACCUCUUGGUCUUUUUUCUCUCUCUUAAUGUUGGACCACUUGACACAUGCCUCCUCCUUCUUUGCUAAGAUGCCCUCAAACCUCACUAUCAUCUUGGCUGCCAUCCCUUCUCGCUUCUCCUUCUCUUAUUUCCACUUCUUUCUCUGGAAUCCUCUUCUAAACUUCUUGGGCGGCUCUUUUAUUUGGUCGGUUGGAUCAUCCGCCUCUUCCUCAGUGCCAAUGUCGACGAUCUUGAUGGAGUUGGCAAUGUAUAAAUCUCAAUUGGGUUGCCCACUCAACUUCAACCAACAAUGCAUGAGGACAAAGUUUCUCUUCUCCAUCUUCAAGAACAAGUUGCACGCACGAGAGGGCUACAAAGAAAAACAUUGUCAAGAAGUUGCACAUCCGACCAAAAGACUAACACAUAGAGCAUGUCCGGCGGAUUAGUUGUUUCAAAUGGCCACCAUAUAUACUUGCUCACGGCCUCUUGUAUGGCGUAUCAUCGAUGGUUGAGUGACUUUGUCCCAUGAUUGCUGAUAAGUUCAUAGUGAUAGGCUCGAAAUUCUUGUGCUCAUAGAACCAACUCAACCAAGUAUGAAUGUUGGCCCAAAACGUUGUGCCCUUUUGCUUCGUGCCAUGGAUAUGAUCGAUGCUAGUGGCUAACCACGCAUCGCACGACAGCUCACCCCCCGCAUGUUCAAGUUUUCUCCUCUACCCCUCUUCUUUGGAUGGCUGCAAAUUCAUCCGGAUCAAGGUCGUCGUAGUCAUCCUGCUCCAGUUAGCCGGUGUAUGAAUCCGGCUGCAUGGUGUAUGUUGGAAAUAUGCCCUAGAGGCAAUAAUAAAAGCAUUAUUAUUAUAUUUCUUUGUUCAUGAUAAUUGUCUUUAUUCAUGCUAUAAUUGUGUUAUCCGGAAAUCGUAAUACAUGUGUGAAUAACAGACACCAACAUGUCCCUAGUAAGCCUCUAGUUGACUAGCUCGUUGAUCAAUAGAUAGUCAUGGUUUCCUGGCUAUGGACAUUGGAUGUCAUUGAUAACGGGAUCACAUCAUUAGGAUAAUGAUGUGAUGGACAAGACCCAAUCCUAAACAUAGCACAAGAUCGUAUAGUUCGUUUGCUAGAGUUUUUGCAAUGUCAAAGUAUCUCUUCCUUCGACCAUGAGAUCGUAUAACUCCUGGAUGCCGUAGGAGUGCUUUGGGUGUAUCAAACGUCACAACGUAACUGGGUGACUAUAAAGGUGCACUACAGGUAUCUCCAAAAGUAUCUAUUGUUUUAUAUGGAUCGAGACUGGGAUUUGUCACUCCGUAUGACGGAGAGAUAUCACUGGGCCCACUCAGUAAUGCAUCAUCAUAAUGAGCUCAAAGUGACCAAGUGUUUGGUCACGGGAUCAUGCAUUACGGUACGAGUAAAGUGACUUGCCGGUAACAAGAUUGAACGAGGUAUUGGGAUACCGACGAUCGAAUCUCGGGUAAGUAACAUAUCGAUUGACAAAGGGAAUUGCAUACGGGGUUGAUUAAAUCCUCGACAUCGUGGUUCAUCCGAUGAGAUCAUCGUGGAGCAUGUGGGAGCCAACAUGGGUAUCCAGAUCCCGCUGUUGGUUAUUGACCGGAGAGCGAUCUCGGUCAUGUCUACAUGUCUCCCGAACCCGUAGGGUCUACACACUUAAGGUUCAGUUACGCUAGGGUUGUAGGGAUAUGUAUAUGCAGUAACCCGAAUGUUGUUCGGAGUCCCGGAUGAGAUCCCGGACGUCACGAGGAGUUCCGGAAUGGUCCGGAGGUAAAGAUUUAUAUAUGGGAAGUCCUGUUUCGGGCAUCGGGACAAGUUUUGGGGUUAUCGGUAUUGUACCGGGACCACCGGAGGGGUCCCGGGGGCCCACCGGGUGGGGCCACCCAUCCCCGGGGGCCACAUGGGCUGUAGGGGGUGCGCCUUGGCCUGCUUGGGCCAAGGGCACCAGCCCCACAUAGGCCCAUGCGCCUAGGGUUUAAGGGGGAAAGAGUCCUAGGAGGGUAAGGCACCUCCUAGGUGCUUUGGGGGGAGGGAAACCCCCCUUGGCCGCCGCACCCCCUAGGAGAUUGGAUCUCCUAGGGCCGGCCACCCCCCCUUGGCACCCCUAUAUAUAGUGGGGGAGAGGAGGGACUUCAUACCUUGAGUCCUUGGCCUUUGGUUGCCUCCUUCUNNNNNNNNNNUACGUGUGUUGAACGCGGAGGUGCCGUCCGUUCGGUGCUAGGAUCUCCGGUGAUUCGAAUCACGUCGUGUUCGACUACAUCAUCCCCGUUCUUUGAACGCUUCCGCUCGCGAUCUACAAGGUAUGUAGAUGCAUCUAUUCACUCGUUGCUAGAUGAACUCCUAGAUGAUCUUGGUGAAACGAGUAGGAAAAUUUUUAUUUUCUGCAACGUUCCCCAACAGUGGCAUCAUGAGCUAGGUCUAUGCGUAGUUCUUCUUGCACGAGUAGAACACAAUUGGUUGUGGGCGUAGAUUUGUCAACUUUCUUGCCGCUACUAGUCUUAUCUUGCUUCAGCGGUAUUGUGGGAUGAAGCGGCCCGGACCAACCUUACACGUACGCUUACGUGAGACCGGUUCCACCGACUAACAUGCACAAGUGGCAUAAGGUGGCUGGCGGGUGUCUGUCUCUCCUACUUUAGUUGAAGCGGAUUCGAUGAAAAGGGUCCUUAUGAAGGGUAAAUAGAAGUUGACAAAUCACGUUGUGGUUUCAUGUAGGUAAGAAAACGUUCUUGCUAGAACCCUACUUCAGCCACGUAAAACUUGCAAACAACAAUUAAAGGACGUCUAACUUGUUUUUGCAGCAAGUGCUUUGUGAUAUGAUAUGGCCAAAGUUGUGAUGAAUGAUGAAUGAUCUAUAUGUCAUGUAUGAGAUGUUCAUGCUAUUGUAAUAGGAAUCACGACUUGCAUGUCGAUGAGUAUGACAACCGGCAGGAGCCAUAGGAGUUGUCUUUAUUUUUUGUAUGACCUGCGUGUCAUUAAAGAACGCCAUGUAAACUACUUUACUUUAUUACUAAACGCGUUAGUCAUAGAAGUAGAAGUAGUCGUUGGCGUGACAACUUCAUGAAGACACGAUGAUGGAGAUCAUGAUGAUGGAGAUCAUGGUGUCGUGCCGGUGACAAGAUGAUCAUGGAGCCCCGAAGAUGAAGAUCAAAGGAGCUAUAUGAUAUUGGCCAUAUCAUGUCACUACUUAUAUAAUUGCAUGUGAUGUUUAUUAUGUUUUAUGCAUCUUGUUUACUUAGAACGACGGUAGUAAAUAAGAUGAUCCCUUACAAAAUUUCAAGAAGUGUUCUCCCCUAACUGUGCACCGUUGCUACAGUUCGUCGUUUUGAAGCACCACGUGAUGAUCGGGUGUGAUAGAUUCUUACGUUCACAUACAACGGGUGUAAGACAGUUUUACACAGCGAAAACACUUAGGGUUAACUUGACGAGCCUAGCAUGUACAGACAUGGCCUCGGAACACGGAGACCGAAAGGUCGAACACGAGUCGUAUGGAAGAUACGAUCUACAUGAGAAUGUUCACCGACGAUGACUAGUCCGUCUCACGUGAUGAUCGGACACGGCCUAGUCGACUCGGAUCGUGUAACACUUAGAUGACCAAAGGGAUGUCAAAUCUGAGUGGGAGUUCAUUAUAAUUUGAUUAGAUGAACUUAAUUAUCAUGAACUUAGUCUAAAAUUUUACAAUAUGUCUUGUAGAUCAAAUGGCCAACGUAGUCCUCAACUUCAACGCGUUCCUAGAGAAAACUAAGCUGAAAGACGAUGGCAGCAACUAUACGGACUGGGUCCGGAACCUAAGGAUCAUCCUCAUAGCUGCCAAGAAAGAUUAUGUCCUACAAGCACCGCUUGGUGACGCACCCAUUCUCCCUGCAGAACAAGACGUUAUGAACGCUUGGCAGGCACGUUUCGAUGACUACUCCCUCGUUCAGUGCGGCAUGCUUUACAGCCUAGAGCCGGGGCUCCAAAAGCGUUUUGAGAGACAUGGAGCAUAUGAGAUGUUCGAAGAGCUGAAAAUGGUUUUCCAAGCUCAUGCCCGGGUCGAGAGAUAUGAAGUCUCCGACAAAUUCUUCAGCUGUAAGAUGGAGGAAAACAGUUCUGUCAGUGAGCACAUACUCACUAUGUCUGGGUUGCAUAACCGCUUGACUCAGCUGGGAGUUAAUCUCCCGGAUGAUGCGGUCAUUGACAGAAUCCUCCAGUCGCUUCCACCGAGCUACAAGAGCUUUGUGAUGAACUUCAAUAUGCAGGGGAUGGAAAAGACCAUUCCUGAAGUAUUUGCUAUGCUAAAAUCAGCAGAGGUAGAAGUCAGAAAGGAACAUCAAGUGUUGAUGGUCAAUAAAACCACUAAGUUCAAGAAGGGCAAGGGUAAAAAGAACUUCAAGAAAGACGGCAAGGUAGUUGCCACGCCCAGCAAGCAAGCUGCCGGGAAGAAGCCAAAGAAUGGACCCAAGCCCGAGACUGAGUGUUUUUAUUGCAAGGAAAGUGGUCACUGGAAGCGGAAUUGCCCCAAAUACUUAGCGGACAAGAAGGCCGGCAAAACCAAAGGUAUAUUUAAUAUACAUGUAAUUGAUGUGUACCUUACCAGUAAUCGUAGUAACUCCUGGGUAUUUGAUACCGGUGCCGUUGCUCAUAUUUGUAACACACAACAGGAGCUGCGGAAUAAACGGAGACUGGCGAAGGACGAGGUGACGAUGCGCGUCGGGAAUGGUUCCAAGGUCGAUGUGAUCGCCGUCGGCACGCUACCUCUACAUUUACCUACGGGAUUAGUUUUGAACCUCAAUAAUUGUUAUUUUGUGCCAAGUUUGAGCAUGAACAUUGUAUCAGGAUCUCGUUUAAUUCGAGAUGGCUACUCAUUUAAAUCCGAGAAUAAUGGUUGUUCUAUUUAUAUGAGAGAUAUGUUUUAUGGUCAUGCUCCUAUGGUGAAUGGUUUAUUCUUUAUGAAUCUCGAACGUGAUGCUACACAUGUGUCAUAAUGUGAGUACCAAAAGAAGUAAGGUUGAUAAUGAUAGUCCCACAUACUUGUGGCACUGCCGCCUUGGUCACAUAGGUGUCAAACGCAUGAAGAAGCUCCAUGCUGAUGGACUUUUAGAGUCUUUUGAUUACGAAUCAUUUGACACGUGCGAACCAUGCCUCAUGGGUAAAAUGACCAAGACUCCAUUCUCAGGAACAAUGGAGAGAGCAACCAACUUAUUGGAAAUCAUACAUACUGAUGUGUGCGGUCCAAUGAGUGUUGAGGCUCGCGGUGGCUAUCGUUAUGUUCUCACCCUCACUGAUGACUUGAGUAGAUAUGGGUAUGUCUACUUAAUGAAACACAAGUCUGAGACCUUUGAAAAGUUCAAGGAAUUUCAGAGUGAAGUUGAGAAUCAACGUGACAGGAAAAUCAAGUUUCUACGAUCAGAUCGUGGAGGAGAAUACUUGAGUCACGAGUUUGGUACACACUUAAGAAAAUGUGGAAUAGUUUCACAACUCACGCCGCCUGGAACACCUCAGCGUAAUGGUGUGUCCGAACGUCGUAAUCGCACUCUAUUAGAUAUGGUGCGAUCUAUGAUGUCUCUUGCCGAUUUACCACUAUCUUUUUGGGGCUAUGCUUUAGAGACUGCCGCAUUCACUUUAAAUAGGGCCCCGUCGAAAUCCGUUGAGACGACACCGUAUGAAUUAUGGUUUGGGAAGAAACCUAAGCUGUCAUUUCUAAAAGUUUGGGGAUGCGAUGCUUAUGUCAGGAAACUUCAACCUGAAAAGCUCGAACCCAAAUCGGAAAAAUGCGUCUUCAUAGGAUACCCUAAAGAAACUGUUGGGUAUAUCUUCUACCUCAGAUCCGAAGGCAAGAUCUUUGUUGCCAAGAAUGGGUCCUUUCUGGAGAAAGAGUUUCUCUCGAAAGAAGUAAGUGGGAGGAAAGUAGAGCUUGAUGAAGUAUUGCCUCUUGAACCGGAAAAUGGCGCAACUCAAGAAAAUGUUCCUGAGGUGCCAGCACCAACAAGAGAGGAAGUUAAUGAUAAAGAUCAAGAUACUUCUGAUCAAACUCCUACUGAAAUUCGAAGGUCCACAAGGACACGUUCCGCACCAGAGUGGUACGGCAACCCUGUCUUGGAAAUCAUGUUGUUAGACAACGAUGAACCUUCGAACUAUGAAGAAGCGAUGGCGGGUCCGGAUUCCGACAAAUGGCUAGAAGCCAUGAAAUCCGAGAUAGGAUCCAUGUAUGAAAACGAAGUAUGGACUUUGACUGACUUGCCCGUAGAACGGCGAGCCAUAGAAAAUAAAUGGAUCUUUAAGAAGAAGACAGACGCGGAUGGUAAUGUGACCAUCUAUAAAGCUCGGCUUGUCGCUAAGGGUUAUCGACAAGUUCAAGGGGUUGACUACGAUGAGACUUUCUCACCGGUAGCGAAGCUGAAGUCCGUCCGAAUCAUGUUAGCAAUUGCCGCAUUUUAUGAUUAUGAAAUUUGGCAAAUGGACGUCAAAACGGCAUUCCUUAAUGGUUUCCUUAAGGAAGAAUUGUAUAUGAUGCAGCCGGAAGGUUUUGUCGAUCCUAAAAAUGCUGACAAGGUGUGCAAGCUCCAACGCUCGAUUUAUGGGCUGGUGCAAGCAUCUCGGAGUUGGAACAUUCGUUUUGAUGAGAUGAUCAAAGCGUUUGGGUUUACACAGACUUAUGGAGAAGCCUGUGUUUACAAGAAAGUGAGUGGGAGCUCUAUAGCAUUUCUCAUAUUAUAUGUAGAUGACAUACUUUUGAUGGGAAAUGAUAUAGAACUCUUGGACAGCAUCAAGGCCUACUUGAAUAAAAGUUUUUCAAUGAAGGACCUUGGAGAAGCUGCUUAUAUAUUAGGCAUCAAAAUCUAUAGAGAUAGAUCAAGACGCCUCAUAGGUCUUUCACAAAGCACAUAUCUUGAUAAGAUUUUGAAGAAGUUCAAAAUGGAUCAGUCCAAGAAAGGGUUCUUGCCUGUUUUGCAAGGUGUGAAAUUGAGCUAAGCUCAAUGUACGACCACGGCAGCAGAGAUAGAAGAGAUGAGUGUCAUCCCCUAUGCCUCAGCCAUAGGUUCUAUUAUGUAUGCCAUGCUGUGUACCAGACCUGAUGUAAACCUUGCCGUAAGUUUGGUAGGAAGGUACCAAAGUAAUCCCGGCAAGGAACACUGGACAGCGGUCAAGAAUAUCCUGAAGUACCUGAAAAGGACUAAGGAAAUGUUUCUCGUUUAUGGAGGUGACGAAGAGCUCGUCGUAAAAGGUUACGUCGACGCUAGCUUCGACACAGAUCUGGAUGACUCUAAGUCACAAACCGGAUACGUGUAUAUUUUGAAUGGUGGGGCAGUAAGCUGGUGCAGUUGCAAGCAGAGCGUCGUGGCGGGAUCUACAUGUGAAGCGGAGUACAUGGCAGCCUCGGAGGCAGCACAUGAAGCAAUAUGGGUGAAGGAGUUCAUCACCGACCUAGGAGUCAUACCCAAUGCGUCGGGGCCGAUCAAGCUCUUCUGUGACAACACUGGAGCUAUUGCACUUGCCAAGGAGCCCAGGUUUCACAAGAAGACAAGGCACAUCAAGCGUCGCUUCAACUCCAUCCGUGAAAAUGUUCAAGAUGGAGACAUAGAGAUUUGUAAAGUACAUACGGACCUGAAUGUAGCAGAUCCGUUGACUGAACCUCUCCCAAGAGCAAAACAUGAUCAACACCAGAAUUCCAUGGGUGUUCGAUUCAUCACAAUGUAACUAGAUUAUUGACUCUAGUGCAAGUGGGAGACUGUUGGAAAUAUGCCCUAGAGGCAAUAAUAAAAGCAUUAUUAUUAUAUUUCUUUGUUCAUGAUAAUUGUCUUUAUUCAUGCUAUAAUUGUGUUAUCCGGAAAUCGUAAUACAUGUGUGAAUAACAGACACCAACAUGUCCCUAGUAAGCCUCUAGUUGACUAGCUCGUUGAUCAAUAGAUAGUCAUGGUUUCCUGGCUAUGGACAUUGGAUGUCAUUGAUAACGGGAUCACAUCAUUAGGAUAAUGAUGUGAUGGACAAGACCCAAUCCUAAACAUAGCACAAGAUCGUAUAGUUCGUUUGCUAGAGUUUUUGCAAUGUCAAAGUAUCUCUUCCUUCGACCAUGAGAUCGUAUAACUCCUGGAUGCCGUAGGAGUGCUUUGGGUGUAUCAAACGUCACAACGUAACUGGGUGACUAUAAAGAUGCACUACAGGUAUCUCCGAAAGUAUCUAUUGUUUUAUAUGGAUCAAGACUGGGAUUUGUCACUCCGUAUGACGGAGAGAUAUCACUGGGCCCACUCAGUAAUGCAUCAUCAUAAUGAGCUCAAAGUGACCAAGUGUUUGGUCACGGGAUCAUGCAUUACGGUACGAGUAAAGUGACUUGCCGGUAACAAGAUUGAACGAGGUAUUGGGAUACCGACGAUCGAAUCUCGGGCAAGUAACAUAUCGAUUGACAAAGGGAAUUGCAUACGGGGUUGAUUAAAUCCUCGACAUCGUGGUUCAUCCGAUGAGAUCAUCGUGGAUCAUGUGGGAGCCAACAUGGGUAUCCAGAUCCCGCUGUUGGUUAUUGACCGGAGAGCGAUCUCGGUCAUGUCUACAUGUCUCCCGAACCCGUAGGGUCUACACACUUAAGGUUCAGUUACGCUAGGGUUGUAGGGAUAUGUAUAUGCAGUAACCCGAAUGUUGUUCGGAGUCCCGGAUGAGAUCCCGGACGUCACGAGGAGUUCCGGAAUGGUCCGGAGGUAAAGAUUUAUAUAUGGGAAGUCCUGUUUCGGGCAUCGGGACAAGUUUCGGGGUUAUCGGUAUUGUACCGGGACCACCGGAGGGGUCCCGGGGGCCCACCGGGUGGGGCCACCCAUCCCCGGGGGCCACAUGGGCUGUAGGGGGUGCGCCUUGGCCUGCUUGGGCCAAGGGCACCAGCCCCACAUAGGCCCAUGCGCCUAGGGUUUAAGGGGGAAAGAGUCCUAGGAGGGUAAGGCACCUCCUAGGUGCUUUGGGGGGAGGGAAACCCCCCUUGGCCGCCGCACCCCCUAGGAGAUUGGAUCUCCUAGGGCCGGCCACCCCCCCUUGGCACCCCUAUAUAUAGUGGGGGAGAGGAGGGACUUCAUACCUUGAGUCCUUGGCCUUUGGUUGCCUCCUUCUUCCUCCCCAACACCUCCUCCACCUCCUUAUUGCUUAGCGAAGCUCUGCCGGAGUACUGCAGCUCCAUCAACACCACGCCGUCGUGCUGCUGCUGGUGCCAUCUCCCUCAACCUCUCCUCCCUCCCUUGCUGGAUCAAGAAGGAGGAGACGUGGCUGUUCCGUACGUGUGUUGAACGCGGAGGUGCCGUCCGUUCGGUGCUAGGAUCUCCGGUGAUUCGAAUCACGUCGUGUUCGACUACAUCAUCCCCGUUCUUUGAACGCUUCCGCUCGCGAUCUACAAGGUAUGUAGAUGCAUCUAUUCACUCGUUGCUAGAUGAACUCCUAGAUGAUCUUGGUGAAACGAGUAGGAAAAUUUUUAUUUUCUGCAACGUUCCCCAACAGUGUAUGUGCUCGACUGGGUGUACGUGCCCGAUUGUGUGUACGGGCCCGACUCCGAGUCAUCCACCUGCCUGUCCUCGAAGAAGUCUCUGAUUCCUUUCGUCUUGGAUCAUGUCCAUCAUCUUCCUGUCCGUGUCGUCGUACGCCGGCUCGCUCGGGUUGAGACAUACCCACAAAUAGAGAGUAGGGACCAAAAUGCUAAACACCCGAUGUCCGUGAUCGGACAAGUUGCGGUGAUGCAAACUCAAAAAAAGGAGCGACGCCAGAUUUGUGUCGACGCAAUAAGGCACGUGCCCGACGGCAAAUGUCGGGGACUGUCUAACAAGCCGCUCGGUGGUGAAGCAGGGAGGCUUGUAUUGUUCUGUCUAGGACGAUGUGUGCAUGGAUGACGACGGCAGGAGCGCCCCGUGUCACAGUUCCCGUCCGCCCCUGCACCCAGCCCACCGCCACACCAGCCGCUCUUCAUUUUGAGCAGCACCGUCUUUGCCUUUUGUUUGAGGCGGCGGGCGGCCGCCUUCGCCGGAUCCUCCACCUCUUUCAUAUCAAGAAAGGGUGGACCGAGGCCGGACGCCUACCCUCCUAGUGACCCAAGCGGACAAAAUCCAUGUCCGUUUGGUCGACGCGUUAGAGUUGCCCUAACAUCGGCUUCGUGAGACUAUGAGCAUAUUUUUUGGGACUGUCUAUUUUACAUCCGGAUGAAAACCAAUUCGCUUUCAACCAUAUUUUCCCGCCAGUUACAGAAUGACAAGUGUCCCACUGUCCCCUGUCCUUUGUUUGUUCCUAUUUGUCCCGCUUUGAAACAGAGCAGCAACGCUCUUAACGGGUUCAUACCCAACAUUUCCAACCCGAACAGAAAUCAGCAAAAAGGAGAAAAGCACCCAACGUUAGAGCCAAGCAUUCCUAUGUCCACUAAGCUAAAGCUAGCAAAGGAAGGAAAGGACCAAAAUGAAAUGACAAAUACACACUGGAAAAUAACUAAAAUUACACUAAUAGUUCAACUAAAGAAUUUCAGUGUAAUAUCCACUGAAAAAUGCACUAUAGAAAAUCUUUAUGUGCACUAAGAAUUACAAUGUAAAAUCCACUAAAAUUACACUGUAAAUACCGCUAAAAAUACACUUCCAAUCCAAAUAAUUUGUACUAAAUAAUUACACUAAGCAUUUCAGUGUAAAUCCACUAAGAAAAACAUUGUAAAUCCAGUAGGAAUUACAAUGUAAAUCCACUUAGAAUUACAGUGGAAACCCACUAGGAAAAACACUGUAAAUCCAGUAGUAAUUACAGUGUAAAUCCACUUGGAAUUACACUGGAUAUCCACUAAGAAAAACACUGUAAAUCCAGUAGGAAUUACAAUGUAAAUCCACUUAUGGGUCCACACCAGAGAGGGCAAUUCCUCCAUGAUCUGGGACACAAAUCUGGCUGGAGAUGCAGAAAAAACACAGGUAAACACCCCCCCUCUUAUGCAUUCACUCCUCCAAGAUCUCUCUCCUACCUCAUGACAUCUGAAAGAAAAACAAGCUCCCUGUGAGGAUCAUUAACAUAUGCUGAAGAACACAACUUAACAGAACAAAGAUUAGAACACAGGCAGAAAAGAUAGCAUGGAGCAGGAGAAACUCUAGGAACAACUAGACUAUGAACACAUAUGAAUUACUAGUUUAUGGUCACAGGAAUAACACUUCUGGAACACUAGAUUCUGAAAACUAGUUGCAAAAUUAGUGCUCAGAAAUUCGCAGCUAUAGCUACAACACAGGGCCAAGAAAAGUUUGGGGAUGAGAGGGGGGGCAUGAGGAAGCUAUGAAUUCCAUUUAGGAAAAACUUGUUCAAACAAAAAGAGUAGUACUGCUGUAAUUUCAGAAGUUUGGUGCUGAGAAACUGUACAUUGUUCGGAUACUUUUGAUCAUGUUUGGACACUUGUAUCUGUGAAUCUAUGACUGUAUUUUAGACAUGGCAGAUUAGAUUUCAGUAUAAAGCUGUGAACAUAUGACUGUAUUUUAGAAACAAUGGUACUGUCCAAAGUUGUAGUUCAAAUUACUAUGAUCUGAUACUAGUUCACACUCAAUCUAAUAUGCCAUGAAAAUUAACAGUGAAAGUAAAAUUAUCAGAAAAAAAGACUGAGGACAAUCAGGUUAAGCACUGACACUCUGCACCCUACCUUGUAAAUUACAAGCUCUGAUUUGCACAUAAAUAGAAGAAAUCAGAAACUUGUGUAUGAAGAGACUACUGGAAUUGACACAAAUAACUCUGGCUUCAAAGAAAAAAUUGUACAAAAAACCUUGUCAAUGACUUGCAACAUGCUUUACUGCAUUUCUUACCUACUUGUUGCACCCUACAUAUGCAUAAACAUGCAUACAUGCAAAAAAAGGACAAAUGGGGACAUCAGAAAUACUCUUGUUUAUUCUACAACACUUCAUUACCUAUACUUUCUGAAAACAUUGAGUGCAGAUGCCUGCAAUCGAAUCAGAUGCAAUAGAAUAUAGCAUCAAAGGGCAGUCGCUGUACCUCGAAGAGAGUAUGACAAAUGCACUGUUCAAAAGGGGAGUGGGGGCUAAAUUCAGUGCAACAAGCUUCCUAAGAGAGUAUGACAGGAUAAUAGAAGUCAUUCAUGAGAGAAAGCAAGAAUGUGAUCACUUGUCUAGAAACAAAAAGGAUGCGCCCAAGAAGUUCUGGUCCAAAUACAGUAUAGAACGACAAGUGUAUGAGCUCUACAACAUUCGCAUCUUCAGGAAGUUCUGAAAGAAAAUGGAAGAUACAACGAGGUUGCAUGUGUUUGAGCUUGAAAAAGAAAAAAAAACUACAUGGUUAAAAACGAAAGAACCUACAUGAGAUAGAUUUGAUGCAAGAGAAAGUACUCAUGCAUGAUGGAUCUGCUGCACAUUUCACAAGGAUGGAAUCCUAUCCUGACACAUACUCAGAGUGAUGAUCCAACUGAACGUAGAGAGGAUACCUGACAAGUAUAUCAUAGACAAAUGAAGGAAAAAUGAUCACAUGGUACACUCAACCAAGCCUCCUCCCAUUUUUGAUGAAAACUCAACACUGAUGUACAAUGUGCUGAAAAGGAAACUCGUCUAUGUGGCUUCUCUGAACAAUUUACAAUGCCAUCAGGAGGAAUAACAAGGGGUCCCUGCUCACAAGGCUUAUAUGACAUAAAUGUGAUAAAAAAUUUACAGUAGAAUUACACUGCAAUUUAGCUUGGAAAAAUAUAGUACAUAGACUGCAAGAACAAAAUUCAGGAUAAUUACACUUAAUACACAGGUUAAACACUGAGUGUAAUUACAUUGCAAAUUACACUGAAUUUAUAGUGUAAUUACAAUGCAAUUUAGACUGAAAAAUUUUAGUACACAUACUAUAACUACAAAAAAAUAGGUUAAUUACACUGAAAAUUACAGUGUAUUUACAUUGCAAAUUAGACUGGAAAGUUUCAGUGCAUAGACUGUAAGUACAAAAAUUCAGGUUAAUUACACAUAAUAAACAGAUAAUUACACUGAAAGUACAACGUAAUUACACUGCAAGUUAGACCGGAAAGACUGUAAGUACAAAAAUUACAGGUUAGCUACACUAAUUUAUAGUGUAAAUUAAUGGUGGGGUUAAGCCCUCAGUUUAACACAGAUUGCAAGUUACAAGAAACAAAUUACUGUGAGAGAAAAGACUAUAUACCUGAACCAACAGUACAAAAUAUCACUGUAAAUUUGAACCAAAAACUGGACUACAAAUGAAACUAUACUGAAAAUCCACUCAAAAUUACACUAGAAAUUACAGUCCAAAACACUGAAACUAAAACAGAAUUAUUUCAGACCAACACGUACACAUCACGAGACUCAACCGACUAGAAGAGUCAACAUUUGCAUGUCUACAUCUAUGAUCAUUAAAUUACUUUCUCUAUGUACUGAAAAGUUCAGUUAACGUACCACCAUGUAAACAAAAGUAUAAAACAAUGGAAGCACACAAUUCAGUUAAAUGUACCACCAUGUACAGUGUAAGUUACACAUAGAUAUCAGUGAAAUUUAAAUAGAGAUAUCACUAUAGUACAGACCAAACAACUGUUGCUUAAUUGAAGAAAUUCAGUCCAGAAUAAAACCUAAAAAGUACAUUUACGCUUGCCAUUUACAGUGAAAAACCAGUGUAAGAUAGACUACUAUAGACUGAAACUACAGUAGAAAUAUCACUGUAAAAUUAAACCUAAUAUUACAUUUACACUGGCCAUUCACUAUUGCUGUCUAUAGUAGCCAAACAACUGUUACUUAAUUACAGUGAAAUCCACUCAAAAUUACACUGCAAUAGUACAGACCAAAUAACUAUUACUUAAUUGUAGAAAUUCAGUCCAGAAUCAAACAACAGAGGAAAAGCGGAGCAACCAUACAUCUACAUCAGAAAUUACACUAGAAAACCACACAUCUACAUCAAAAACAGGCUAGACCAGACGAACAUCAACCUACCACACUAGCAGCUACCAAUGGAUCAACACCGCUAAUUCAAAGCCUGCCACAAGGAAACUACAUCUACAUUCGGAAGAAGAAAUCAAAAUAGACAAGAGGGAUCCACCGCUAAAUUUACAUGUGCAACAAAAAAUACCACAUACGAAAAAUGCAAGUAGAAGAAUACAACGAGACAAUCAACCAGAUCUAGCAAAUCGCACAGAAAAACGAAGGGAAAAUGGAACAGGGGGAGAGGGGGUGCUUGCAAACCAACAACCUCAGGUAGGGGGCGGGGAGAGACGCAGGGCUUGCGGACCACCACAAAAGAAGGAGCGGCACGAAUCAAAGACCCGAGAAGAAACCGCAGCCAAAUCGCCAUGGCGUCGACUUCGCCUCUCCCUUUCUCCCUGACAAGAACAAAGGUGAAUCAAAUCAGAGCGCGAGCUUGGAGAUAAGCAACCAGGGGAGGAGGGGGAGAACCGUGGGCCUACCACCAAAGCGCCUCGAGAGAUCAGCGAGUGAGGCCUCCAACCAAAAUCUCGCCAUGCCUCUCUGCCUCCGAGCACUCGCCGCUAGAAAUGGGGAGCGAUCCAGUGAAAGGCAUCCG